rnacentral:lncRNA from 1 species
UUUUUUUUUUUUUGGGUAAAGAAAAGCUUCAUUUCAAAAAGGCCACUCCCAAUAACAAAAGUACGAGUAAUGUUAUGAAGGCUAAAUUUUAUCGAUCAAAUUUGAAAAUUAAAUGAUGCGUCACCAAUAAAAAAUAAACACGUUAAUCGUCAUUUAAUAAAUAAUUCAAUCAUCUACAACCACAUUAUUUCGUUUACAAAUUUGAUUUGUAAAUUUGAUCUUCCUAGCAUUAUCUAAAAAAUAUGGAACAGGGAAAAACCAUACACAGACUUGAGAUACAACCCACCAACUUCGACGGUAAACUAACAUACCUGAAACCUCCAAAAUACUGAACAGAGGAGAGCAGUCCUAGACCCUCAAAGUCAAAAAAAAACUAGAACAAAACCAGCAAUUCUUCACACAUUAGCAAGGCGGUGGAGAAGGCAUGCCGUCGAGAGAAAAAACACGAGGGAGGUUGGGGUCAGAUGACUCAAGUGUAGCGAUGCCACGCAAUCAGGUACUUGGUUGGCUUCGCUGGGAAACCAAGACAACCGAAGAUAGGAACAGGAAGCUUUCAUAUGCCUUCUCUCUCUCAGAAUUGCAUAAUUCAUCCACUGGGGAAAAUGCCUAGUAUCAUUCAUGGUUGGUAUAAUUCUACAAGUCUCUUUAUGAAUGCAUAAGAUAAAGAAAUUUUCAGUCAUGGGGUACCCAUGCCUCGGGAGCUUUCAUUAAUUAUUUUGUAAGAUGUUCAUAUCUUCUAAUAAUAAUUACAUAAAGGAUGUGGAUAUUUCAAUAUAGUCUCCACAUCUAAGAAGAUUAAAUUUGGAUCCUAUGUGAUUGUACACAGUCAAAUGCAGAAAUCUCUUUUCCUUUCUCUCUCAUCUCUCCUUCUGAUAUGUCAUUUCUUCUUGCUAUUUUGUUAAGAACUCUAAGUAGUACGAUCACAAGCUCAUAGUCUAGCUCUUUGACUUGCCAUUGACUGAACAGUUCUAUACUCUAAGCAGAACAAAGAAUAUGCGAGUCUACCGUAAGAAGAGUUCGAUUAAUAAUUAGUUAUUCAAUUUCUAAAAAAUAAAAACAGAUCAUUACUUAUUUCUCUUCCAACAAUUACAACAAAAACACCAGUAAAUUAGCUUAAGAGGUAACUGGAUAUUAUUAAUCACUUCGUACAUUGAACAAAAUCAAUCAAAUAUAAUUGAAAUACUUAAUUGAUUUUAGCUCGAUAAGUCAUUGAAGCAUCUUAACAUUGGAAAACCAAAGAUAAACAUCACACAUAUUACAUCAAGAGGAAAAAAAUACAUAAAAUUACAUGGCAUGAAGAAUUUAAUUUCAGCGUAUUCUUUUGUCAAACUUUCCUGGUCCAUAAGUAGAAAUGCAUGUGUCAACAAGGAGGGGAAAUUGCAUCCACACAAAUGAGGCGAUUGGAAGAGUCGCAAGAAGAAUAAUUGGGAAAACAAUCCAUGAUUGUUUGUCAAGCAUAAGGGCAGAAGAGAAGGCAAUCAUCAUAGCGGCGAUAGAGAAAAAAAGGGUGAAAAGGCCAAAUAUCAUUUUUCUGGGUAAAGAUUUAAGGAAGUCAUCUUCGGAAUAACGCGAUGUGAGCAUUCCUAAGAAUAUCAUUACUGAAGUUGUGGAAAAAAAUAGCGAUAUACAAUCUGACAUUAUAAAAACCAUGAACAACUUUUUACCCAAAAAUGUGAGAUAGCCUUUGUCUUGAGUGUUUCCUCCAGGAAUUGUAAAUGCUACAGCAAACAUCAUUGUAACAAUUAAAGCACCUACAACCGUGCAAGAAGUUGCAGUCACUUUCAUUGAUUUCUCACCCUCCUUCACCAAUUCUUUGUGGUUCUUCGUAAAUAAUUCUCGAGCUGUCAUGCGAUCAGUAUUGUUCAUCAAUUCAGAGGCCAUGACAGGUAGAAUGCUCUCCACCUCCUACAUUUCAUUAAAUAAAAACUUACUAACUACGCCAUUUAAGAGGUACAUGAAGGAUAGUAGUUUCUUGAAGCGCAUGUCUGAACAAUUGUCUCAUAAGACUACUGAAAAGCGUGCGCAAUAGCGAUAGUUGCCAUGGCCGAACCAUGUUUCAUGGCUUGUGUCGUUAUCAGAGCCAUGGGUUACUGUAUAUCAGGGGUGUCCAGUGUCCACGUAACCCAUCGUAAAAGGUCAGAUGAUUUUCACAGCCUCUAAAUAGUUAUAGGUUUUGUUAAUCUAGAGGCUAACCCUUAUCUCGCCAUCUUCUCUUAAUGUAAAUAAUAUUGUUUGUUAAAAAAAAAAUGUUGGCAUGAGUUAAAUUGUAGGGAUUCUAGGUCUUUCAGGAGUCCUUAUUUUAGUAGGAAAAAGAUUAUGUAUAUUUCUUUUAUUAUAAAAUUAGGUUUUGUAUAUGUAAAUAUUGUAACCGUGCGUUUUAGUGAAAAUAUUGAGUUUUGGGUUAUAUAUAUACAAUUCCACUCUAAACCCUGCAAAAAAACCCUUAAAAUAUGCGAUGCUUUGUGUCUUCAAACAUAUUUUUAUUUUAUAAUUAUAUCUUACAGAUCACCUACCAUUUAUUCCAAUAAAAAUCUAAAAAUGUGAAAUUAUCCAUCAUCGUUAUUGACUUUUGAGCUAUUUACUUCUAUGUUUAACAAUAUUAAAAUAUAAGGAAAACUAAUGAAAAGGGUUUGAAAACUUUGAGUUUUAACGAUAAGGACAAAAUAAAGGGUAAAAUAAAUAGUACCAUGUUGACUUUUUAGUGUAAAAAUGUGGUUUUUUGUCAAACAAUAUUAAAAUAUAACGUCAACAUUCAGCUGAAUUACAAAAAAAAUGUAUAGUUACACUAUAAUCAUCAAAGUUUACAGUGAAGCCUUACAUAAUAAUUGUAACGUUAUAGUUACUAACACAAAAUAUCAUUGUUAUUAUUGUAACAAAGUUGGUUUUUCCGUUGUGAACAUCUUAUUACAUUGUCAAGGUAGGAUCUUAUGUGUGAACAUAAUUACAAAAUCAUCGUUUCAAUUAAAGGAUAUUGAUACCCUUGUUUUAAUGGGUACCCUAACUAACCGGUAAAUAUUGUAAAUUAGCAUACAAAUUUCAUUAAGAGAUUAGAUGUCUUACUUCCAACGUUACAUCUUGCAAAUUGGCAUGUUCCACUACUGCACUACUGUUAAUGUGGUUCUUUUUGUACACACAAACUUCAUUAAGUAUAACUAAGUCAAAAAAAUUUAUUUUGACAACAUCUCUAUUAAGUAAUAACCUCCCUGUAGCUAUAAAAUUGGUUUGGUCCCAAACACUAAACACUGACUAUAUAGAGGUUUUAUUGUAUUUAUACAUGUUUUAUAUAAUUAAAAAAAACUAAUGAUUGGCCUAUGGCUCUUUUUGAGGACAUUUUGUGUUGAUUUUGAGUUUGAUGCUCAUCACAUUCUAAUCGCCCUCCCUAUAGGCUUGUAAGCUCACAAGUAGAACCGUCGCUGUACAUGUAGGCUAUGGACAAUUCAUUAUGCACAUGUAUAAUGAAUUUAACAAUAGCUAUUCUCUCUUAAUACUAUAAUAGAAGAUGUAGUUUUCUCGGCUUUUCAGUUUAAAGUAUUUGUGUGUUAUAUCAAAAGUAAUUAGACCGCUAGCUUCACUCACUGUCAGUUGAUAUUGGGUUAGACUUGUUAGCUGGCAAGUAGAGCCAUGGCCAUAUAUACAUGUUGGGCGAGAACAAUUUAUCUCGUGAAUAUGCAGUGAGAAAUUAAGACUAACCUUGAACAAUUGCAGUUCGCUUUGCAUUUGCAGCGCUGCACCCUGAAUAUGAUUAAGGUUCGCAGAUAGAUUUGCCGCUGAAUGUAGAAUACUAUUGUUAAAUGUAUCUGGAAUCAAAAUCAAAGUUCUACCACUUUCCUUCAGCAUCCUGAGUAGAAGGUUGAAAAUUUUUGCUUGACGACAUUCCACGGCAUAUGGCAACACUGUCUUGCCUUUUCCAUCUUGUAUCUCAAAACCUGGAUAAACCUUAAAAAGAUGAUAAAUGAAGUCAACUUGUCCUUGUUCCACAGCUCGGAAGAUUGCAGUUUGCAGGAACAUAUAUUGCUUUGGGGUGUCAUAUGUAAAGUGUUCACCCAUGAAACGUAAAAAUUCUCGGGUUCGAAGAUGGACCGAUUUCAUUUCAUAUAUAUGAUUGACACCUAGGUUAAAAAUGGAAACAGCAAGCAAAGUAUCAAAAGAAUUAGAAUUAAAAUUAAAAUGGAAAAAUAAUAUCAACAAUGUAGGUGUAGCAUACCCAAAAGUUUAGCAAGUCCUGGAAAUAAACCCACAACUGCAUUGCAGAUUAGUACAAAAAUAUGUUAGGUAAAAAAUUAUACAAGGGUAUGUUAAUUAGAUAACAAUACAUUUGUAACUUUUGCAAGGCGCUUAAUCUUCAAGAGCUUUUCAAUCAAACAGUUGUACUUCAAGAGCUUAAAAGCAUCUACUCAUGCAUAAUUUGGCUUCUCCUCUUUUUCUUAGAAUAAAAAAUAAAUAAAAAUAACAAUCGCAAUUUUAUUUUAGAAUAUUUCUUUUCCUUGAUAUCAAUUAGUGGCAUGUAGAGUACCAUAUGUAAAAGAGAUGACUGAGUGGACUAAAAAUGGAAUGGAUCAAAGGAAGACAAAAGGACGCAACAGGAAUUUACAGAUUUGGCAUCCGAGCUCCUUUUUGGGCGCAUAUACCUUCCCGAUUCAAAGUCAUUUAAACUUCCAAAACAGCGUUUUAAAGUUUGUAAAAAAAAAAAAAAAAAAAAAUCUGAGCUUUAGUUUUUUAUCCGAUUUAUGUCAAUUGAAUUCCCUAUGACCCCUGAACUUCCCUUGGGUUGGGUUUAAGUCUAUUUAAGCCUUUUGGCACCUGUUGUAAUACUUCGUUCAAGAAUUACUCAAAUAAACCUUUCGGUUUUCUCUCAAAAUUUAGUGGAUUUCAGAGCAUUAUUUUCGACGGGUUACGUUUGUAUCCCUUGCUAGCUUGUGCUUCGUGACCAUCUAAACUGGCUAUCAUUCCGAGAUAUACUAAGCAAAGAGGAGUAUACAUUUAAAAAAAAAAAAAAAAAAAAAGCUAUUUUUCGCAUUAUCUUUCGAGAAUAUAUAUGAACCUCCUAGUACUGUGCUUUACUAGUUGUUUAUAACUUUUUUGGGUUUCUUCAAGACAUGAAUGUUUUAUAUACAUGACGGAUGCCUCAUGGCAACUGUCUAUGAAUGCUUUUAUUUCAAUGUUAAAAGGAAAAAAAAAUCUAAUUAUUGACCAUUUCUUACACACACUUCUAAGCGCAUUUAUAUAUGUAGUAUCCACGUAUUAGAAUUAUUGAUCAAGAGUCCAAAUAACAUGCAAAGCAAAUGGCAUUUCCAACGGGCAACGUACCUGAGUGAAUUAGACCCGGUUGACACCUUGGUCAUCUUGUGGAUUCUCAACAUUUAGACCCGUUUGAUCCCCUUGGUCAUCUUGUGGAUUCUCAACAUUUAGACAAAGAUCAUUGGUGGGGGUAGAUGUUUCGGCCGCAGUAGGUUUUACGUAUAUCACUGUAGAGAUAAGACGUAACAAGAUAAAUGGUUUCUACAAGAAGUAUGAUCAUAACUUGAGGGAGAGAAAGAGAGAGAGUAGUUCUAACAGUUAUAGAUUCAUUGUUGCCAGAAAUUGAGUCUCACGCCACAUAAGAAUGCAGAACGCGCACCAACUAAUGCAUUUAGAGGGGAAUGCCCGAAGUGGUCAGUAGUAAGGGUCAAGCUUGGGCAACGUUGAAUCAAAUUCCAUGCAAUAUCUAGUGUGUAUAUAUACACAUAACACUAGGAUAAAAACUAUUAAUAUAAGAGUGAAUUGUAAAAAAAUGAGUAUGAUACAAGUGAUUUUACAACUAGAUGGUAAGUGUAGCACUACUCUUGCAAAUUUGGUUUAAAAAUUUGGUAUCUCUAACAUUAUCCUUAAUUUUAGAAUGUUAGCUACUUUCUCCAUUUCCUUUCAUCUUUGUGCCUUCCCCGGCCUUCAUUUGCACAUUAAUAGAGAUGUCAAUGGGGGCAGAUCGGUUUAGAAUGUGCUCUCCCCAUACUGAAACCCAAAACCGAAGAAUCCCCGAACGGGUUUUCUCCAUAACAAAACCCGUUGGAUAUCGGAAUUACCAUCGGGUAACGGUUUUCCCCAUUUGAUAUUUAUAUGGUUGAUGGUUGAUGUCCUUGGUGUUUGUAAGUUGCGUUAUGAUGAGUUGGGUUAGGUUGUUUGGGGCUCUUUUACCCCUUUGUUACCAACAAAUGGCCUACCGUUAUCUGGGAUAUUUAUUCAUCACCUACUGAAUUUUCUCAUCCUUGUGGAUUACACGUAAAAAGAAAUGUUGGAUUAAAAAGACGAACCCAACGAGUGAGGGGUUUUGUUUCAAACAAAUGCCGCUCCAUUUAGUUGUGAAUAUUGAAUGCAAAUGCACCCUCCAUAAUGCACGCAUGUGUAUUUAAUUCUGGCUAUUAACUAUUAACUAUUUAUAUUUUUAAUUAUAUACUGUAUAUAAUUACUAGCACAGAUUUUCAUAUUUAAUAAUGUAUAAUUAUUGAUAACAUGUUUAAUAACGCAUGAUUAAUGAUAAUCCGUUUCCCCAAUUCAUAUUUUUUGUUAAAAAAUUAAAAUGGUUUGGUUUUAAGUAUGGGUUUGUGUGGAUACAUCAAUAACCAUAACCGAAUCCGAAACUAAAAAAUUUACCCGACUAUUGUCCAUAACCGUAAAAAAUCCGAAAAUUAAUCCUCGAAACCGAACCGUUCGGAUCGGUUACCUACGAAGAUCGGGUUUGACGGGUUAAAUUGUCAUAGCUACACAUUAAACUAAACAAUUAUCCCCAUCCCAUCCAUUUACAUCUCUACCCUUUUUUCCUUUUUUUUUUUGGGAGCUCCCACCCCUAUACCCUUUUUUCUUUGAGCAGCCUUUAUGGCGUCGGCUAACUACCACCAAGUUUUCAUUUUCAACCCAUUAACAGAAGUUUGAUACUGCAUGAACACGACUGGGUUUCGUAGGUGUUGGAAAUCACGGCGAUUAUGAGCAUUGUUAACCCAAAAUAGAGAACCACAGAUUGCUUAUGAGCUUAAUUUUCCCAUUGGACUUUAGUGGCAGGACUGAUUAUUUCAUGAGUUUUUAAGAAAACACAGGUGAGAAUACCCAAUUAGAUCUUCGAAGGUAUGAAAGGAAUUUGCUGGGAUGAGUGGAAGUAAAUGAGUGAAAGUGAAUGCGAUAGAAAAAGGAGGAUUAUGGGUGAUAGCAGCUUGAGGCUUGAGCCCUGGAGUCAGCUCAAGUGCCCACGGAGGAAAGUGAAGACGAAAAGUUUGGGAAAAGAGGAGAGAGGGUGAGAGAGAUAAAUGGGUGGGCCCUAGUUUGUAUUAUUUGAUUUUUUUUUUUGUAACAAAUGAUAUUUACGCGAAGAGGAAUGAGGGACACAAAGGUGAAAGUAAACGAGAAAGGUCGCUAACAUUUCUAUAAUUUUAAUUUUUUGAAGUGUACUUUAAACAAAUUCAAAUUCUAUUUUUGUUGUUUAAUAUGUAUUUUUAUUUAACGUCUUCACAUUAAAAUUUUGAUUUUAUUAAUAUGCACAUUUUAGUUCUUCCAAUUAUAACUAGGCCUAAAUGAGAAAACAUUAAAAGAAAUUAGUGACACAUAGGAACAAUAUGUAAAUACAUAAGUGUACAGAAAGAACUGUACCAAAUUAGAUUAAAUUGACUUGUUUGUACUGAAAUAUUUGUACCUAAAUAUUUGUACGAAAUAAUUACAAUGAAUUAGUGUGCCUAAAUGUUUCUACCGAAUUAUAUUAUAAUGAAUGUGUGUGUACCUAAAUAUUUGUGCCAAAGUGUAUUUAUAAUGAGGGUUUUUUUUUUUGAACAAACGAUAUUAUCUACAUUAAGGAGGAGGAGGAAGUGAGCUUAGCCUCACAAUUGGCUAACAAUAAUGUGAUUCAAAUUCGACUUUGGUGAGAAUCGAACCUAAAAUCUCUCAUUUACAAGUGAAGAGGAAUACUUCUAAACCGUAGUACUAAGUAGCUAUAAUAAGUUAAUGUACCUAAAUAUCUCUACCAAAAUAUAUUAUAAUGAAUUAGUAUAGACUUGGAACAGAAUAAUCAUGAAAUUACCAACAAAAAAAUUUGGAAUAUAAAUGGCAUUUAAAUAGAUGAAGGGACUAAACUCAAUUUUAAAUAUUGUACGGCAUUAAUCUAAACUGCAUGUUCAUUAAGGAUUAAAAUCUAAUUUUUUUUUUAUAAAUUUAUAUACGUACCAAAUGAUUGGUUGUAGAAACAGUUUGGGCCCAAAAUAACAGUUUGGGCCAAGUGUAGGGUCAUUCUCGGCCCGGGAGGCCUUGCGACAAGAAUACCAUGGAUCGUUCAGUACGUGGGCCUCCAAACCUAGGUCGGCUAGGUCAUAACGCAAGAGGUCGAAUCCUAGUGCGAUAAGGAGUCUCGGCAGGACCCGGAAGCGAAUCCGGCUCAGGUAAAGGACUAGGUUCACAGUCCUAGUGAAGGUAGGACUGGUCGAGUUGAUGCUGAUCAGGGGAAGAAAACCUAGUCCGAGUAGGUUUUUAACUCGACCUUGGGGGGAGCCAUUGCUAUAAAUAGAAGAGGUUACACAUCAUUCAAGCUCCCUACAAAUCAAUACAAAAUUGCCCUGCGCAAACUCUCACAACUUGUGAUUUUUCUUUUUCCUUUUUCGCUGACACAUCUUCCGUUGGCAUCAACAGCACUGUGGAAGCCACCGGUGAUAUCUUAAGUCGGCAUAGAUAGCUCUGUCACCGUAGAAUUGAUCGGUCUUGCAGUAUCUUCCGUUGGCAUCAACAACACUGCGGCGAGAACGGUUGAUUACCUAUCCAAGUCUCGGUCGAGAAGGGUUUCUGAACCCUUAUUGGUCGAUGUCAUCUCAUCAGCCUUCUCGGCGAAGUGAGGUGUUACAGUUAUUACAUUCGGCACAUUGAAAGCCGAAUUUGAUACUGAACUUCGUAAGAAUAGUAACCUUGUCUUCAGGUUCGAGAGCCCAAGAGGCCGAGACGUGUUCCUUUCUCAGCCGCAAUUGCAAGACGUAGAAGUCAGUAGCGCGACCCAACGCAACAUCAACAAAUUUACUCCUCGGCCGAGCUCGGCCGACGAGUUGGCACGCCCCGCAUUCACCGAAGGACGUAGUUAGCUCAUUAAUUACUCGGCCUGCGCGCCACGUAGGCUUUGUAGUUUCUAGGGUCAAUAGAAACAAGGGGAAAUAAGUUCAGCACCGUCGCGGCCUUCAUUGGGUCCACGCGUUAGUUCAUCGAGAGGAGUGACUGUAUAAAGCUUGCGAGCGAUUUCAUUCAAGUCCAAUGAAGCAGCGUGGAGAACAGGAGUCCUGUUGUUUAAAACAGGAUUCCUGGCGUUGGGAGCAGAAGUUCGCAUGGUCGCUAUAUUCUUGUUCUUUUCAAUCAUCUUUUCAACUAUUCCGAUACUGUUUUGGUAUAUAGCAUAAACCAGAGGUGUGCAACCAUUUACAUCUGUUAUCGCCAAAUCUUCUUCUCUCAUCAAUUGCAGCAGCUUUUUCACUAUAUAAAACUGCCGACCCAAAAUUGCUGCGUGAAUAAUCGUCCCUCCGUCCGCAGGAUAUACUUUUCUUAUUGCCUCAGGAUUUUGGUCAAGAAACGCCUUUGCAGCAUUCCAAUCACCGCCCCUCACAUGCUUGAACAAAGGUUUAAGGUAGGAGUCGUCAUCGUCACUCUCAUGUCUUGUUUUAUCUUAACAGAGGAUGGAAAAUAAUAUUAAGAAGAAAUUAGAUUCUCAUUUUAUCAAUUUCCAUGUAAACAUCAAAUCCAAAAAAAUGAAUUUUGUAAAAAAGAGUAUACUUUUUCAUGGCAUUUUGUAAGCUCAUUUCAUACUUUUUCACGAUGUUUUACUUGAUGUCUUCAUAUGUUUCAACAGUUUCAUAUGUAAUUAAUCCUUUUUUUUUUUUUUGAAAAGAUCCAUGAGUUAUAAUAUGAAUGGACUAAAGAAUUAGAUAUUUUCCUCUUUUUUCAUUUUAAAAUUAUAAUAUCUUUAAAUAUAUAUUCACUCAUAUUAUAACAUCGACAUGUUAUACCACACAAUCAUAUUCCAAUAUUACACAAUAAUUUCUAAUUUAGAACUUUUAAAUUCAUAAAGAAAGUUAUAAAAAAAAAACAAACCAGUUUCAUGAUAUAAACCCAAAAUACUGGGAAAAAAAAACAAAUUACUGCUAUUUGAGUGGGAGUAACUAGCUAGUAUCCUGCGGGCGACCUGUAUUUUGAUUUGUAUAAGAAAAAUUGAAAAAAAAAAGAAAACACCCACACACAAAAAAAAAGUAUUUUGAGUUUAAUUAGUUUUUAUUUUUGGUUUCUUUCUUUAAUUUAAUAUUUAGAACAAACUACCUUUGAAAAGUUUCCGGGUUAUUUCGAACUUGUCUUGCAAAAUAUCCCAUGCGGAUUUGGCCGAGGUGGUGUCACUGAUAAAACUUAAGAUGUCAUCCCCGCAAGAAAGCUGGAUCGCAUGCAAAGCCUCGGCAUUCUUCUGCUCCUUAUCACUUGGACAUGCAACUUCUGGAGGUUCAGGUUUGAGAGGUUCCGUUUGGACAACGUCCCAAAGAUCUUUAGCUACCAAGUAGGUUUUAAGCCGCAAACUCCAAGGUGUAUAAUUAUUUUGGUUAAGAACUUCAGGUACAAUUCCACAAGCCAUGCUUAAUCUGUUGAUUUACCCAAAUGUGAUUUAUCGAUCAAACAAGAAAUUAGUAGAAACUACUCACGUAUGUGCUAAAAAAAAUAAAAAAAUCAACUCACAGCUGAUUGUAUUUGACAAAUCUCCAGAAAGAGCAGCUUGUGAAUUCCAGUAUGUGUCAGCCUACCAGUGUGCUGUGAACAAGCUUUGAUUUAUAGGCAAACAAUAAUACAUUUACAAUUAUAAAAGACUUGAAGAUUGACUUAAAAAUAAGAUUAAAAAAGACCAAUAAUUGAAGGUUAAACUUAACAGUUGUCCUUGUUCCAAAAAAAAAAAAAAAAAAACAAUUAUUCAAUUGAUAAUGGGAUCUGUGACAACAUAAUUUGAACACAAAUUUCGAACAAUUAAAUUAAUUCACUUUUGAUGAUUGAUCCGACACAGCAAUUUACUUGACAUAAUUUUUAUUAAAACAACAAAUAUUGAAAUAAAAAUAUGAAGGCUUUAUAUUUAUGACCUUAAUUCUCUUUCCUCAAUAGUUAAUUGUGUUUUGAUUGCCUAUUCGAAUCCCCUUAUUUUCCGUAAUUUUCUUCUUCAUCCGUCCCCCACAAACUCUUUUGUUCUGUAAAUUCUCUCAGCCUUGAGUUAAUAUAUUCCAGUCAAUUGCCCAAUCAUGUAACCGGGCUACAUACAUUGCUUAGGUAAUAGAUAAUUUAUGCUUUUAUUCUUAUAUUUAUACCUAAGACUAGGGACGAGGUUAGAAAUUCUUUUAGUGGAGGCAACUCGAAAAUCAACUAAGCAAAACCUUAUUAUAGUAUAGUUUGUACCCAAUAUGAUAAUAGAGAUGAUUUCAAAUAAUGAUGUAUCACAAUUCUAAUGUUACAAAAAUUUCAGUGUAGUAGUGGAAAGUGGCAGAGUGAUAGGAAAAAUAUUAAUACAUGAUUACGCGGGAGAGAGGUUUUUCAGUUUGAAUGACAGAACAUAAGCACUAUAUAAUAAUUGAUAUGAAGUAUAUGCAGUAUGAAAGUAUGUUGGACAUUAAAUACCUAUAUUUUCUUCAAAGAUAACGCGUUUGUAUUAUAUAAUUGUAGUUUGCAACUUAACAAACAAAUCACUUAAGUGGGGGCAUAUGCCCCCAGUGAGCCUUCAUUAGCUCCAUCCAUGCAUAAGACAAUAAGAAGAAAAACAUAUAUUAUGUUGUAAACUUUCUUAGUUUAUGUGUGAUUCUGUAAAUCUUAAAUUAUAUUUGAUUCUAGUUAUUAUUUCCUAUAUGGACUUGUAUUCCUUGGGGAUGAAGGAUUUUAUUCUCUUCCUUAUUACUAUAAAUAAAGGCACUGCGUAGGGGGGAGAAUAUAGAUUUCUCUCUACAAUUUUACAUACACAUCUCUCUCUCUCAAUCUUUCUCCUUGCCACCGGCACCUUUCCCCUUGUCAGAUAAAAUAGGCUACAACACGUUAUCAGCACGCGCCUACCGCUGCGCUUAGGAAUCUGACGUUGAAGCAUUUUCUGCAUUAAACCAGUUCAUCCAUAUCAUCACACAAUCAUAUUCUUCCAAACAACAGUUUUUAUCUCGAUAUUUUUGCAGCCCUGAUAGCAUGAACAUUCACCAUAAUGCAUGACCCAACUUUACGUUUUUCGAAUUUUAGAUUCUACAUAAAUUGUGUAUGCAUUAUAAUCAUAAUAGUUGAAUUAUGUGAAUUUGAUAUUGCCAUAAUUGCAUCAAAUAUUUGUCCAUGCAUUAAAAUAUUUGAAUUAAAUAUGCAUUGAAUUGAAUUAAAAAGAAAAAAAAUUUAAAUUGAACUUGGGAAACAAUUCGAACCCCUAACCUUUAGCCAUGCCAGCCGCCAACACCAGGCCAACAGCUUGGCGAGCCCAACCCAACAUCGAAACCCAGUUUUGUAAGCCUAAACCAAAAACGGUGCGUUUGAUGCACCCUGUCUCGACCCAUGGCCUGAAGCCCAGGUCCUCCCAAUCAAUUUUUCUGACAAAACACGACCGGCCGUCAUGUAAUUUGGACGAAAACUCAUCGUUUUCACCAACGAUUUCUCGAAAUUCAAGAAGAAUUUCAUGAUUUUUUUUUUGAAUUUGAUUGAAUUCCUUCAGUUCUCCAUCCCCUGACGUCAAGUUUUCACCUCCGUCGAUAAGUACUUGGUUCUCCAACGAACCAUAGCUUGUACAGACCAUGGAAACGUCACUUGAAGCGAUGCCGUCGAUUGAUAUCAUCGAACUCGAAUGGGAAACCACUAAACCGUAGUGCAACAGUUUCAUUUUUUUUUUUAAGCAAUAUAGUCCCACGGCGAUCCUUUAAAUCUUAUGUCCAUAGGGAGUGUUAAGAUUUUUGCUCAGGAAAUAUGCUAACCAUUUAGACAGAAAAUUUAAAAUUAUUCAAAACAGAAACGAACGCUCUGUGCAAGACGAAGAGCUGUUAUCCAAAGGCGUAAAAAGGUAUCAUGCCAGCUUGCGCCAUUUGUUGCUCGAAGGGUUUUAAUCAAACCUACAAAAUGAAACCUUGCUUUUUCAUCCUCACAGAACUGGCUCCAUAAGAACAAAUAGUAAUUUAAAAAGUACUUAUUUAAGCACAAGUAAUUACUUCAACAGCACUUGUUGCCUCAACUUGAUACCCAUCAUUUGAUAAUAGAAUUGAAUUUGUGAAUUUUCUUGUUUCAUAAACCUAAAAGAACAAUAUAAUUGACUAUGAAAUUUGUUAUUUUUAAAUUCUCAAUCAUAGAAAUUGAGAAAUUACACAUAUUUACAUGAAAUUUAAACUUGGAAAUUGGAGGUCCCAAAUUCCAAGUUUUUUUUUUUAAGCAAAAAUUUUAAAUUUCUAUAUUUAUAAAUUCACAUAAGAAAAUUGAUACAUGUCAAUUUUUUCAUUGGGUUUUUGUUACCUAAUGAGGUUUUAAUGAGACACCCAUCCUGGGAUGAUCAUACUCCGUUGAGUUCACUACUUUCGUCUUAUUUGACUUUUGUUUUAGACAUUAUGUAUACUUCUCACAUUUCUCCUUUAUUUAUGAGUUUUCACAUGCCUCAGGUUUUAUCAUAGCGAGAUUUUGUAAGUUUUAUUACAAAUGCAUACUUUAUUUAAAUUUGUGACUCGCAUUCACACGUUGUGUCGACAACUUCAUCAACUGUUCUACCUUAUCUGUUGAAGAUCUGAUGUGAUGUUUUGUUUGAGUAUUUACACACUCAAAGGAAGUGUUGCAGUCCUAUUAGAUUAGGAAUGUGAUUGUGUAAAUCUUAGUGUAUCUAUGGAUAUUUUUGAAUAUUUCCUUAAGGGUAAGGAUUUAACCUUCCUUACUACUAUAAAUAAAUGCAAAAUAAGGUGAUACAAUAUACACCUCAGAAUUACAUCUAUCUCUUCUCUCUCUUGCCAUCGGCCCUCUCCCUCUGUAGUCUUAAAUACAAUUAAUUAAAUUAUGCCUACAACAUUUUUUUUUAAUUUUUUUUUUCUUUUUGUUUCUUUUUCUUUUUUCUUUUUCCUUUUCUUUUCUAGAACUUCUUCUAGAUUCUCUCGAGUGCUCCCCCUUUUUCCUCCUCUUCUGUUCUUUUCUUUUCUUGAAAGGUUGCUCCGCAGAUGAUGCAAGCUUCAAAAAAUUGGACUUCUGCAAUGCGAAUCCGGGGUUAUGCAGCAUACCUUCCUAAUGACGAUCCUCCAAUAACCUUCCAACUGACAAUCCUCCCUUCUUCUUUAUGGAUCUCGCCGGCCGAUUUUCAAUUGGGCUUUUCACUACUGAAAAAAAAAGGGUCUAAGAAGACAAUUAAUUUGUGCUCUUUUUAAUUUUAUUGAGCACAUGUAUGAUAUAUUUAUUUGUGCUUUUAAAUGUCAUUGAGAUUGAGCACAAAACUAUCUCCAAUGCUUCUUUUGCGCAAAAAUGUACAUUAGUUUGUGUCUUAAAAAAAGUGUAUUUGUGCCCAUUAAAAUUUGAGCACAAAAAAUUAUGUCACUAUUUAUGGGUAUUAGUAAUUAUAAUUUUUUAUUAAUUUACUAAUAUAACAACAACAAAAUUUUAUAUCAUUAAAUAGAACCGGCUUAUUAAUUUACUAAUAUACUAAAAAAAUAUUUUCGUGCCCUUUGAUUUAAUAUAUUUAAAUCACUUGGUCUUAAAUCUUUUUGUUAUUUCAUUUGUACAACAUGCUCUAAAUAUUCUGUCACAUCUCAUCUCAAUUUUUUUUAGUACACCGAUAUUUUUAUACAAAAGGGAAGGGGUUUCAACUAAGCCACAUAAUGGGCAGCCUAAUUUAGUAUCGAAUUCACCAUUCACAAGAUUCAAACUUAAGACCUCUCAUUUUCAAAUGAAGAAAAAUAUCAUUAGACCGUAACACUGAGUGGUGUCAUAUCUCAUCUCAAUUUAAUUCUAUUUUAUUCAUGACACUGGAAAAUUAAGAAAAAUAUCCUUGAAGGGUUAAGUGAAAAUCCUAUUUAGACACACACAUAUUCUCGCAGUGUUCAUCCCUACGAUGGCGUGGACAAGUCGAGACGAAGUUCAUGGUUACAAUGAAGAUUCUGCAGAACCAUAAAGACCAAGGACAAUUUGGUAAGUUCACUAGUUGUGAAAUGUCUUAUCUGCCUUAUAGAAUUAUUUUAACACUAUUUUCUUGUUGGACCUUGGUCCAUGGGACCCACCCACGUGACCCACUCUCUUGGUUUGUCUUCCCCGUGAGCCACCGCUUUCUCAUUUCUCUCUCAAACCCUCCCUCCCAAGUCUCUCGUCCCUCUCCUUGCUGCAAACGCAGAAAACAAUAGAUCGCGUCUGCCGUCGUUCCCCGUCAAUCUCAAACCUACCACCACUCUUGUCCACCUUUUCUUCCUCACCACCAUUCAAUUUUACUCUAUGCUCUCUGUGAAACAGAGAAGCUGAUAGCUCCUGUACAAAACACGGAUAGCGGUUCCGUCGCUGUCCAACAAACCAUGUCGCCAAUCACCAACCCCGUGCCCCUUUCCCAACCACAUACCCUUUUCCUUACCUCUGCUUCAUCGAAACUCGAAUGGGAAACCACUAAACCGUAGUACUACGGUUUCAUUUUUUUUUUAAAGCAAUAUAGUCCCACGGCGAUCCUCUAAAUCUUAUGUCCAUAGGGAGUUUAAGAUUUUUGCUCAGGAAAUAUGCUAACCAUUUAGACAGAAAUUUUAAAAUUAUUCAAAACAGAAACGAACGCUCUGUGCAAGACGAAGAGCUGUUAUCCAAAGGCGUAAAAAGGUAUCAUGCCAGCUUGCGCCAUUUGUUGCUCGAAGGGUUUUAAUCAAACCUACAAAAUGAAACCUUGCUUUUUCAUCCUCACAGAGCUGGCUUCAUAAGAACAAACAGUAAUUUAAAAAGUACUAAUUUAAGCACAAGUAAUUACUUCAACAGCACUUGUUGCCUCAACUUGAUAUCCAUAAUUCGAUAAUAGAAUUGAAUUUGUGAAUUUUUUGGUUUGAUAAACAUGAAAGAAUAAUAGAAUUGUAUGUGAAAUUUGUUAUUUUUCAAUUAUAAAAAUUGAGAAAUCAUACAUAUUUACAUUAAAUUUAAACUUGAAAAUUAGAGGUUCAAAAUUUCAAGUUUUCUUUUCCAAGUAGAAAUUUUAAAUUUCUAUAUUUAUAAAUCUACACACAAAAAUUAAUGCAUGUUAAUUUAUAAGUUCUUACUUUUAUUCAAAUUUCAAAUUUAUUUUAUUCAUCCAAUCAUAAUCGAAUUAUUGAAAAACAAAUCCUCCUAUUCAUGUUGGCAGUUGGACUAAUUGAUGUACCAAGCUUUCUGAUAAGCAAGGAUUGAAAUAUCGGCCGAUACAUCGAUAUAUCGGCUGAUAUAUCAAUAUUUUCAACUGUCGAUACCGAUAUUGGGGGGUAAGGCCAUAUAUUCCCCUAUAUCGACGAUAUAUCCCCGAUAAGUGCGAUAUCUUCGAUAUUUUGCCGAUAUUCUUGAUAUUUCCCGAUACCUAUAACAAAACCCAAAAAAAUUCAAAAGUUUUCAAGCAAAUUGAAACCCAAAUGAAUCUUAUGAUGGCUAUGGGUAUGUCAUGUUUGAUUAUAGUGGAACUAGUUAUGGAGAUCAAGAUGAUGAAACAGACUAUGGACCUACUAGUUGGGUUAAUCCUAACUAUCCCAUGUAUGGGAGGACAGUAGGGAGCUCAAGAGAGACAUAUGUGCACCAUGUUCAAACAUGGCUUACAAACUGCUCGGGUUACAUGACUUGGUAUGACUAUUGUAUGAAUCUAGAUGGUUGUUCCUCAUUGUUUGAACCUCAUAGGAGCUCUUUAUUUAUGUAGUUGGACACUUAUCUAAAUUGUAAUCUAAUGUUUAAACAAACUAUGGAUUUAUGCAUGGUUUAUUCAUUCUAAUAAACAUUUUAUUAGAAAACUUUUCAUUAACGCGCAUUAUAUACCACUUAUAUUUCAUCAUAUGAUAUCUUAUUAUUAGUAAAUUUUGAGUUUUAUUUGUUCAAUACAUUCAUUGAUAAUGUACAUAACAUCUAUGAAAGUUUUAGACCAAAAUUAUAUGUUUCAAUGCCUAUAUUUGUCAUUUUUGUUGAUUUUUUCUCGAUACCUAAAACGAUUACGAUAUAUCCCUCAAAAUAUCAGUAAAUUGAAGGCUCAAUAUUAUCUGCACGGCUGAUAUUUUAAUCCUUGCUGAUAAGUUCAUCCAAACCGAAUUAUUGAUCCACAGGACCCAACUACACACCAGCAAUAACGUUCAGUGUGAGAAUUACAUAUGGAUCCAGUCAAAGUGCUAUAAUAACUAUAUCUACUAUUCAAAUCUAUAAUGAUGAUGAUUGUCGAAAUGCAUUAGGUAGAAUUUUUUUUUAACAAACGAUAUUAUCUAGAGAUGUGAUAUCCACACACCCUAUUUUACUUCUCACACACCUUUCUAAUUUUCGACUGUCGGAUCGGAUGAAUGGAAGAAGAUCAACGAAUAGAAAUUAACAAAGGGUGAGUGAGAAGUAAAAUUGGGUGUGUGGAUAGUGUGGAUGCAAAUUUUCUCCUCCUCGAUCUCGGACGAUUUUGCACCUACAAAACAACUAGCACCUUAGGUUAAGGCCAAAAGCCUCACGCGCCCACGAUGAAUGGGGGGGGCUUUGGCCGAAGAACCUCCGAUGCCAAAGUUAGAAUUUUAGAGAGAAAUAGUGUUUAGAAUAUUUGAGAUUUUUUGCAAGAGGUUUGGAAUCUCCUUUUUGGUGAGAAUGAGAGUAUAUUUAUAGGGAUAGGAGGUGGCUAGGGUUUUUUGGGUUUAAUUUAGGUUUAAGAUGAUUUUGGGAGUUAUGUGAUUAAUUGACUAAUUAAUUUGGCAAAAUAAAAUUAUUACCAAAUGAAUUAGCUAAUUAAUGGGAUGAAAUGGGCAAAUAUCAAGAGAUAAACAAAACAUGGCCAAUUCCUUUUCUAACAAUAGGUGGCCGGCCCUUCACUUGUUUUUGGGGUUGAAUGGAUGUUUUAAUUGACAAUUAAGGAAUUGAUUAGGAAUUAAUCCCUUAAUUAGUCAAUUAUUAUGAUUUUAAAGGAAGAUUUUAGGAAAUAUGGUAGGUAUAUAUUAUUUAGCUAAUUGAUUAGCUAAAUAAUGAAAUAGAAAAUACUAGGUUUUGGGAAAUACCUUAUAGAAAGGAUUUGAUGAAAGAGGUUUUUAAUUGUUACCUUUUUUGGGCACUUUUGACUUGAUUGAAAGAUGAUUGCCCGCUGCUUGCGCGUAGGAAUCCUGGUAUGCCUCAAGGGUAUUUUUGUUCUCUUUUGUCCAAAAGUCCACGUGUCGCCUAGUGAAUAUUUUUGGCUCCACAGAUAGCACACCCCUAUUAUCUAUACUAAAAAUGAGGGCUGAACUUAGCCUCACAAUGGGCUCACAGUAAUGUGGUUCAAACUCACAUUUGGUGAAAAUCAAACCUAAAACCUCUCACUUACAAGUGAAGAGGAAUACCAUUAGACCGCAGUACUAAGUAGCUGCAUUAUUUCAAUUUAUAAUAUGAUAAUAAUAUAAAUAUUUGUCUGACAAUAAGGGCCUUACUUAUAGGAUUUGGAUCCUCGCUGGAUCCCCUUCUUGGGGAUUCCAGGGAUCAAUGAAUACAGAUCGUUGAUAAAAAAUCGUACGGCUAUAAUAAUUUUUUCUUUUUUUAUAUAUUUUCAAACAAACGAUGCUGCUUUACUUUUAAAAAUAUAAAAAAUAUUUAAUUGGGACCACACGAUUUUUUAUCAACGAUCCCUAGGAUCCUCAGGGAGGGGAUUCGGCGAGGAUCCAAAUCCUCACUUAUAUGCAAAUUUCUUUUGGGGAAAAAUAAUAUACACAUAUUUGUAUGGUUAGUUAAUGGUUUGGGCCAAGAUUUCGCCCAUUGGGUUCGGGCCAGCCCUCUUGACCUGCAGGCCCACAACCAAAUGGUGACCCCUACGUUUGUGUUGAAAUUUUUUUAUGAAUCCCAAUAGUAGUGGAGAAGUCAAAUAUAAAUUUUAUCAUAACGAGUUUUUUAAUAAAGCAGUAUUGUCAGUGGGUUAGCUUGUUGUUAGAGAUAAAGGGAAUUGAUGAGAAUCAAAACCGCACAAUAGAGAUUUCAAUCAACUCAUUAAUUUUAGGCACAUUCGCAUUUUGACACACAGAUUUAUUUUGUUCACAGUCCGAUUGCUCCAAUCCACAAUGUUUUCAUGAUCAAUUUCUUCUCAAAAUUGAAGGGAAAAAGUAUGCGCAAAAAUAUUUCAUGAUCAGUUUAUUCUUAAUUAAUUAAUUAUAUGUUUCUGACCCCAUGAACCUUCCGACAGAAAGCAAAUUAAUAUUUGGUUUUGUUUUCUUUAUAGUAUAUAGGAUAUUAUAUAUAUAUAUAUAUAUAUAUAUAUAUGUAUGUAUGUAUAUGUAUGUAUGUAUAUUUAUAUAUGUGUACAAGUUGGUUCUUCGGUCAGAACCACUAAGAUGUCCGGGAAAUUUGAGAGAACAUCAGUAAGUUCAACAGUGUCAAGGUGGAGGCUACUGAUCCAGUCCUUUAUCCGAGCCAAUUGAUGUUCAUCUUGCAUUGAAUCCUGAGUGUACACGAGAUUCUUUGCACUGUUGUUUAAGAUCUUGGAUUUCUGAAUGCUAUUUUCUGCGAUUUUGAUCCCUACUCUGUUCCCUGGUAUGGAAGAACAUUUAGACCUAUGUGCAGCCCAAGUGUUUGACGAAUUGCCCAGCUCAGAAUUGCAAAUCUGGGUUGCUCGAAGAUUAGGUAUAUGGGUUGCUUAUCGAUUGGACGUCUGGAGUUCAGUGCUAUUUGACGAUCUGGUGAUGCUUGUGUGGUGAUUCAGGUGAAUUUGUUUCUAUUUCUCGAAUCUCGAUUCUAUAUGCUGCUUAUUCUCUGAAGUCGUGGUAUGUGUUUAUUCUUGAUUUCCUGGUUUGUUUGAAGCAAAGAUUUGGGGGUUCUUGAUUUCUGGAUAGAAUUGUGAUAUGGUGAUGUCUCAAAAGGCCGAUGUCAUAUAUGGUGUUUGUGAAAAUGUCUUAGACAUAUAUUGUGGGAUUUUAUGCAUGAUUAAGUGUGAAGGCCGAUGUCAUAUGUUGAAAGAUGAUGAAAUAUGAGUUCUUGUUAAUUGAAUGAUAACGCCGAUGCCAAUGGAUUGAUGUUCUGAAGAUUCCAGUGUUGAAUAUUGUUAAUCUUGAAGUUGAAAUUGUUCAUCAAGAUGUCUGAUAAGUCUGUAAGAAUUGAAAGUUGGAUUUUAAUUGCUUGAAGAACUGUGUGAUUGGAUUCUUUGAUUGUACUCUGUUCUCUGCUAUGAAAGAAAGAUUAGACCUAUGCGCAAUUCCUGUGUUUGUCGAAAUGCCCAGCUCAACAGUUUGAUGUGAAUGUGCUUAUUGAGGAGUUUGUGCAGUAUGUUUCCCUUAUCUUAGCUUAUAAUUUCAGAGUCUAACCAACUCAGUUGUUAGCAUGAAUCUACAGUAAGUCCGGUUACACGAAGGGUAGAAGAAGUUGUUAACGGUAAAUCCCACGAAGGGUAAUCCCGUGUUUUGAGUAGGUAAAUCCCACGAAGGGUAAUCCUACAUAAAUGUUGAUUUUUCAGUUGUUGAAAUUGUGAAGGCCAAUGCCAUUGUUCAAAGAAGUUGUUUUUGGUAAAAUCCACAAAGGGCGAUCCCGUGGUGCUAUAGUUAAGGCCGAUGCCACACUAUAGUUUGUUAAUUUUCUGUUUUUGUAAAUAUUAAAGGCCGAAGCCAAGUUGAAUGAGAUUGUUGAUGGUGAAUCCCAUGAAGGGUAAUCCCGUAAGAAGUUGUUAUACCGGCAUGAGGGUGUGCUACAACUACUUUAUAGAAGGUUGUUCUUGUGUAAAACUCCUGAUAGAGGCAGAGGCAUACAGGGUGUCUUUAUUUGUAAGGCAGUGGAAGAAAUUUGGACUGACAGACAGAGGUUUUUUGGUCAACAGCUACAAAGAGGUUAUGGGGUACACUUGUGUGUGUUAUGUUAUGAUCAGGCCGUUUGCUGCUACUCCACUGUGGUUGUCUGAUUAAAACAAAAGGAUAAUGAGCAAACAUUAGUGCCAAACACUUUGAUACAUGAUUGGUUUGACAUUCCCUAGCUGAAGGCUUAUUACAACUUCGGAUUUGAUCACUUUAACCUCACAUGGAAGAAAGUGGGUGUGAGGGGUCUUGUUGAUUGCCUCUUGGGAAACUCAGGCCCGGUCGCUUCUGGUGAUUGGAUUCUCCCAGACCUAACACUUCAAGGCUCCAUAAGCCGUAACAGUCAUUUCCAUUCCUUCCCCUACACAUAUUACUUCAGCUAUGCCACUAAGCGUACCAAGAAGGUGUUGGGUGUCACAGUUCCUUCAAGUAUAUUCGGAAUUCAUCCAUUGCUUUUUAUUCGAGUGUUGCAGAUGAGCCGAUGGCGUUACCCUUCAGAUGUCUCUCCCCCAUACAAAGGCUACAGGGAUGAUGAUUGGCAGGCAUAGCAGAGGAGCCAUAUGCUGGACCUGGUGCAAGGCAGGCCAGUUUGGAGAUUGCAAAGAUCAAUAAGAAGCAGAUGUCUCAACUUGCAGGACUCAACAGUUUAUCUCAUGCUCACAUUGCUGCAAUCUCAGGCUUGGUAACCUAGCUGAGAUUGAGGGGGAUGAAGACAGAUGUCUCUUGAUUAUUGGUUACUGUGUAAUCAAUGCCACAUCAGCCUAAGUUGUUAUAAUGUUUGUUAGGUGGUUAAAUGAUUUGUUAGUUGGUUAAUUAGUUACUUGUGGUUAAGUAAGCUUGUAUUGUUUAGUAUAUAAUGCACUUCCAGUUACAAAUGUAGUAAGUUGUCAUUUUCUUCAAAUAUAUAAAACUUUAUCUCUCUCUCUAAACUCUCUGUGUUCUUCCUUUUACUCAUCCUUUGUUCUUGAUUUUCCCUUCAAUUCUCAAACACUACAAUGUAGAAGCCUGAAACCACUAAGAUGUUAGUUAGUUAGUUACGUGAAUAGCUUACUAGCUAAGUUUGGAUUCCAUGUAUAAAUAACUGAAUAACAGAUAUUGUAAUUCAGUAAGGAAUACACACAAAUCAAUACAGUUUCUUUCUCUAUUCUUUCUCUUCUUCUUUCUCUUUGAUCUCUGUAUCUUUCUGUGAGUUCUUCGAAGGUAUUAUUAGUGGUGUACCAUGAUAAUACACCACUAAUAAUACCUUCGAAGAACUCACAGAAAGAUACAGAGAUCAAAAAGAAAGAAGAAGAGAAAGAAUAGAGAAAGAAACUGUAUUGAUUUGUGUGUAUUCCUUACUGAAUUACAAUAUCUGUUAUUCAGUUAUUUAUACAUGGAAUCCAAACUUAGCUAGUAAGCUAUUCACGUAACUAACUAACUAACAUAAGCUGAGUUGGCUGUCUAUCUGACCCUUGAAUGUUGUAAUGAGUUGGCAGUUCAUCUAGCCAUUGAUUUAUGAUACUCAACAUUCCCCCUCAAUCGUGGCUGGGGUACUCAGCCUAAGAUUGUAACAAUGUCGAAGAAAGGCAGGGUUGUGAAGACCUUUUGUAAGAACAUCCGCAGUUUGAUCUUCAGUUGGAAUGUAAACCACCUUCAGAUCUCCUUGUUGAACACGUUCUCUCACAAAAUGAAAGUCAGUAUCAAGAUGUUUGAUACGAGAAUGAAAAACAGGAUUUGCAGUAAGGGCAAUGGCUGACAUAUUAUCACAAUGAAUUAUGGGAGGUGAAGGCAGACACACUUCUUAAUCCUUUAGGAUUCCCCUUAUCCAAGCAACAUCAGCUGCGGUAUGGGCAAGAGCCUUAUAUUCAGCCUCAGUUGAGCUUCUUGAUACUGAACAUUGUUUCUUUGAUUGCCAAGACACGGGAUUGUUGCCUAGAUACACUACAUAUCCUGUGAUUGACCUUCGAGUAUUGAGAUCAGCUGCCCAAUCAGCAUCUGAAAAAGCAGUGAUUGUCCUUGUCGUCAUUUGAUCAGCUGAAUAUAAUAUCCCAUGGUGCAGUGUACCAUGAAGAUAUCUGAGUAUUCGUUUCACUGCUGCAUAAUGCCUUUCUGUCGGAGACUCAUGAACUGACAUACUGUAUUAACCGCAUAUGCAAUAUCGGGCCUAGUAAAGGUCAGAUACUGCAACGAUCCGACGAUACUCCUAUAAAGUGAUGGAUCAGACAUUAAAGAACCAUCAGAAAAUAGCAUUUGAUCAUGAGUUUUGCAUGGAGUAGCAGCAGGUUUACAUGUGUCCAUACCUGCCUUAUGGAUCACAUCCUUUAUAUAUUUUGAUUGAUGCACAAAGAUAUCCCCAUUAUUCUUAUACGAGAUCUGCAAUCCCAGAAAAAAUGUCAAUUGUCCCAUAUCCUUAAGAUCAAAGACUUCAGAUAACUCAUCAAUUCAUCUUUUGAAUCUUGAUAGAAUUGGAACCGGUCAAUAUAAUAUCGUCAACAUAAAGGAGAAGAAUAACAAUAUCCCCAUCAUCCUGCUUGAUAAACAAACUUGUAUCAGAAACUGAAGCCUGAAAAUUCAUGGCAGUCAAGUAAGAUGUGAACUUUGAAUUCCACGCCCUUGGAGCUUGUUUCAAACCAUAUAGGGAUUUGAUUAAUUUGCACACAUGAGUGGGAUGGGAUGCAUCGACAAACCCUUGUGGUUGUUUCAUGUAAAUCUCUUCUUGCAAGUCACCGUGCAAGAACGCAUUUUUAAUGUCAAGCUGUCGAAGUUUCCAAUGGUUACUUGCUGCUAAGGCCAAUACAAUCCUCACCGUAGUAUGCCUCACUACCGGACUAAAGGUAUCCAAGUAAUCAAUACCUUGUUCCUGAGAAAAUCCUUGAGCCACAAGCCGUGCUUUAUACCUGGAAACACUGCCAUCAGGAUUUUUCUUCACUUUAUAUUAAGGGUAAAAAUGUAAUACGUUAGUAAUAUAGUUAGGUAGUUAGUAUUUGAUUAAAGUGGUUAGGAUUUCUAUAUAAACUGUUGUCUCAUAGUUGUAAAUAUUCAUUCAAUCAAUACAAUUCCUAUUCUCUCUAAACACUCUCUCUCUCUCUAGAAUCUCUCUUGUUUCUCUCUGCCUUCUUCCUCUUUCUCUGUACAAAUCCUUCAUCUUUGCAAUGUAGUUAACAUGGUAUCAGAGCCACCAGGCUCACGCCAUGAUUCUGGUGGCUCACGCCAUGAUUCUGGUGGUUUCUCUUCGUAGUAUACAUUUUUUUUGUUUGUUUUGGUUCAGUUUCUCUUCAAUUUCCAUUAGAUUUUUCGUGCUUCUGCGAUUGUUUGUGGGUUGAUUUUUCGGCGUCUAAGCAUGCGGCAUACAGAACGGUAGAGAAUUGGAGGACAUCGAGCGGAAGAAGAAGAUCAAGAUCAUGCCUCUUUCAUAUUGUGAUUUGGUAACGGGGGAAUCCUCUGGUUUCUUAGAGAGAUGGGUUGUUUGGAUGUUUGGGAAAUAGGUCGAUGCAUGACUAAUUCUUUGCAUUGUUGAUUGAGAUCUUGGAUUUCUAGAUGCUAUUUUCUGCGAUUUUGAUCCCUGCUAUGUUCCCUGGUAUGGAAGAACGUUUAGACCUAUGUGCAGCCCAAGUGCUUGACGAAUUGCCCAACUCAAAAUUGCAAAUCUGGGUUGCUCGAAGAUUGGGUAUCUGGGUGGCUUGUCGAUUGGAUGUCUGGAGUUCAGUGCUAUUUGACGAUCUGGUGAUGCUUGUGUGGUGAUUCAGGUGAAUUUGUUUCUAUUUCUUGAAUCUCGAUUCUAUAUGCUGCUUUUCUCUGAAGUCGUGGUAUGUGUUUGUUCUUGAUUUCCUGGUUUGUUUGAAGCAAAGAUUUGGGGGUUCUUGAUUUAUGGAUAGAAUUGUGAUAUGGUGAUGUCUGAAAGGAUCAUUCUUUCUGUAUCUUUUCUUGGAGUAUAAUUCUCUAAAAUUUGUGAAUAUGUUGGGAUUUAUAGUUUAUGGGUUUGAAGAAGAAAGUAGCAGUCUUUCUGUGGAUUUUUGGAGUGUCAUUCUCCUGAGUCAAAGUGUUUUCUGUGAAUCUUGGAGUGUCAUUCUCCUGAUUCGAAGUGUUCAGGUGCUAACUGAGGAGUUGUGCAAUAUGUCCCUUAUCACAGCCUAUAAUGUCGAGUCUAACCAACUCAGUUGUUAGCAUGAAUCUACAGUAAGUCCGGUUAUACGAUGAAGUUUGAAGAAGUUGUAAACGGUAAAUCCCACGAAGGGUAAUUCCGUGUUUUGAGUAGGUAAAUCCCACGAAGGGUAAUCCUACAUAGAUGUUGAUUUUCAGUUGUUGAAAUUGUGAAGGCCGAUGCCAUUGUUCGAAGUACUUGUUUUUUUUUUUUUGGUAAAAUCCACAAAGGGCGAUCCCGUGGUACUAUAGUUAAGGCCGAUGCCACACUAUAGUUUUGUUAAUUUUCUGUUUUAAAGGCCGAUGCCAAUGUUAAAUGAAGUUGAUGCCGGUAAAUCCCACGAAGGGUAAUCCCGUACGAAAUUGUUAUAACCGGCCUGAGGGUGUGUUACAACUUUAUAAGAGGCUGUUUUUCGAUUGAAGCUCCUGCGAGAGGCAGAGGAAUAUUGGAUGUUUUGGAUGGGAAGAUUGUAUCUACAAAAGGUGUAAAUUUCUAUCUGGUUUGCAGUGAAGAUCCUAUUAAAAGGCAGAGGAAUAUUAGACUUUUGGAUGUGCUUCCUACUGAGCUUGCAGAUUGAGUUUGUUGCAGUGAGUCAGUGAAUAUAUUUGGGGCAGAUUGAUGUUCACUGCUGCUCUGCAGCUAUAACAAACUCGUUAUUCAGAACAGGUUCGAGAUCAUUUCCAUAUUUGCAGAAUCAAGGUUGCAGUUGGUUCAAGUUGUUCUGUUUUUCUGGGUUUCCUAACAGUGAUUGCAGUUGUUCUUCCAAUCUCAAACUGGGUUACCCCAGUUGAGAUUGAGGGGGAGUAUUAAGGGUAAAAAUGUAAUACGUUAGUAAUAUAGUUAGGUAGUUAGUAUUUGAUUAAAGUGGUUAGGAUUUCUAUAUAAACUGUUGUCUCAUAGUUGUAAAUAUUCAUUCAAUCAAUACAAUUCCUAUUCUCUCUAAACACUCUCUCUAGAAUCUCUCUUGUUUCUCUCUGCCUUCUUCCUCUUUCUCUGUACAAAUCCUUCAUCUUUGCAAUGUAGUUAACAUAUGUAUGUAUAUGUAUGUAUGUAUAUUUAUAUGUGUACAAGUUGGUUCUUGAACGAAAGCAUCCAUAUGCCAUGCACGUACAAAAAAAAAAAAUCAUUUUCACAAACGCUAACAUGAAAUUUUCUUAAUUGAUAUGCAAUCUAUCUACAAGAUUGUUCUUGUACGAAAGUACCGUUGCUACUAAAGUGAAAGAUGCAAUAAUUUUUGUGUAUUACAUUUGAAAGAAAAGAAGGGAAAUUAUGUUGUGUGCAAGAACCACACAUUAACUAACCAUGCAAUCGAUCUUCCCUCUGUAGAAAUUAAGCAGCUAGCUAGCUAGUAAAUAGCUUGCCAUGCAAAUGCUUAACUUCCCACCUUGUACGUAUUUUGAAUUCGAAGUUAUGACAUUCAUGAAUUUAUCAUUUCUUGAACUUAUAACCAAAAUUAAAGUGAUAUUUAGGGUCUGAAAUCUGUACUUUCUUAUCUGGCUGGGACAAAUUGUUGACCACCAUGGAGGCGUCAACAUAAAUCCCGAUUGGAUCCGGCAAUACAUUGUACGCUCCGAGUCCUACAUUGACCGGUACCCUAACCGAAACAGCCACAGGGAUCCUGCCACUCUUGAUUUUCUGCAUAAGUGACUCCCCGAUAGGGCCCUUAAAGUCACUCCCUUUCAAGUCUCCUCUCAAGUCCACGUCCAUCAAGGUGGUAUUUCUCGUCGGUUGACGAAAAUGUGGGACCACCCCGGUACAAAGUUUCAUCCCGGAAUACUUGAGCUGCACGGUGCUGCCCUUCCCAUAUACAAUGGAUAUUCUUUUGUUGGGAUUCUCGGCCUUUACCGUGACCACAAAUUGCGCAUGGAGGCUGUAAUCAGGGGUGAGGUUGAAUGCCUUGACAGAGAAGUCACUAAUACUGUAUUUGGGCUUACGGGGAUUGAUAAUUACUAGGCUGAUGGCCACGGCAGCGAUGAUUACCACUAGGGUUACGAAGAUGCAACAACAACACCAACAGUAGCAUCUCAGACAACUGUUUUUGCGGCGCCCAUUAGGGCGGUACUGGCCAUUAAAGCGAGGAGGAUUGCGGCCAUUGGGACCUGGAUAACCUGGAUCUUGAUGCAUCAUGUGUGGCGGUGGAUGUUGGUUAGGACCAGAGUGCAUAAUAUAUGAUAAUUUUCGAUUGUAUGACUGGGUAGCAAUAGCAAUUGAAUCAAGUACGUAUGUACGUACUUAAUCCUUCAAUUACUUAAUGUGCAUUCAUAGAUUGUACGUAUGUUUUAGGUAAGUAUUUAGAGAUCGAAGAAGAAAGAGAGGUACUUGAUCUAUCUUCUUCUUCGAUCUAAUGAUGAUCAGGUGGAUGAUGGAGCCCGAAGGUGGCCGUCAAGGUGAGGAAGGGGAGGUGGGAUUUUUUUGCAGGGAUAUAUAUGGGGAUUUCCAUUGGUUAAGGACAUUGUUACAUAUGUGUGGAUAUCGUCAAACAUUUGACUCCUGCUGGCCUUGUAUUGUAAUUGUGCGUCAAAACGGGUUUUGUGGGUUUCAAAACUCACAACACCAAUUUUCUAUUUUAGGCUCAAAAUAAUCCGCUAAAUUUACUGCCUUUUGGUGUAAUUGUAAACUUUCUAAAGAGUUUAGGCUUCGUAAUAAAAUUAAUUGGCAAUAUAGGAGUCAUCCAACCUCUUAUAAGUCCUUACAAGGUUUCUCCUAGUAUGGGGAAUAGUCCAACCUCUCAUAAGUGAUUUCUCAUUGUAUGGGUAGUAGUCCAACCUCUUUUAUAAGUCCUUACAAAGUUUUUUCUUUUACCGAUGUGACUUUUUUAGCUUUACAUCUUCACACGCCCGCUCAUGUAUAUGGCAAAUUUUCAAACCGAACAUGUGAACAACAUAAAUUAGAUGACAUGGAACAUGUGUGACUGUUAAGCUUCACACAUAGACCAAUUUGUUUUUAUAUCAUGUAAAAUUCACAUGUAGGCCAACUUGCUUUUAUACCAAGUAAACUGUGUAAUUCUCAUUGAUUUCUGUAAUGCUACUGUACAUCGUUUUAUACAAAACAGAUACAAGAGUCCUAUCUCAUCGAGAAAAUUACAUCUGAAGUUUAAAAUACAAUUCAAAUAUACAAAGAGAAUUAAGAGAAUUAUUUCUCACUAACUGCUCUUACUAACCGUAAAUGAAUGCAAAUGUUAAUUGAACUGAUUUGGAUAACUUCAUAAUUAGUUACAAUUUAGUCGAAAUUACAUAUAUACAUAAACCAAAUUGAUCUCCUUGUUGGAAUUUAUUAGGUUUAUUUAGGAAAUUAAUUAGAGAUUUGAUUUUGUAGUAGGGAAUUUUUGGCAUUUACACAUUAGGGUUUCUUAGGUUUAUUGCUCUAUAAAUAGAGCUUAUAAUUUAGUUUGAGAUCAAGUCAUUCACAAUGUAAUCUCUUAGGGUUUUGUAGUCGUUUCGGCAUUCUCUUUUGUUUAAUAAUAUUCUUAUUUUGUAGCCUUAUUCAUUGCGCACUCUGAUAUUCAACUUGGUAUCAUAGCAUGUUCGAUUCUUCGGAAUUUAAUCUGUUCUAGAUGGGUAUCAAUUUGUUCAUUCAUUUGUCCACUGCGUAUCAGUUUGUCAUGAAGUUAGAUUGAAAAUUGGCAUUGGCAUUGACAUUGGCACUGGCACUAGCACUGGGAUCUGAAGUCUUGCAUCCACAUCUACUUUGGCAAACCCAUGUCGUGUUCCGCCAUGAGUUUGACGGCGGGUGUUGGAAUUUAAUAGGUUUAUUUAGGAAAUUAAUUAGAGAUUUGAUUUGAUUUUGUAGUAGGGUAUUUUUGGCAGCGGGUGUUGGAAUUUAUUAGGUUUAUUUAGGAAAUUAAUUAGAGAUUUGAUUUGAUUUUGUAGUAGGGUAUUUUUGGCAUUUAUGCAUUAGGGUUUCUUAGGUUUAUUUCUCUAUAAAUAGAGCUUGUAAUUUAGUUUGAGAUCAAGUCAUUCACAAUGUAGCCUCUUAGGGUUUUGUAGCCGUUUUGGCAUUCUCUUUGGUUUAAUAAUAUUCUUAUUUUGUAGUAUUGUUGUUGGAAAAUAUUUGUAUUUUGGUUUAUUUGAAUGUUUGGUUUUCUAGGCUUAACCCAUUAGCAUUAGGUUUCGGUUUCUUACCUUUUAGGGUUAGGGUUAGUUUAUUAUAAAUAGUAUGCUUGUUAUUCAGUUGAGUACAAGUCAGUCAUAAUGUAGUCUCUUCGGGCUUUGUAGCCGUUCCGGCAUUCUCGUUAGUUUAAUAAUAUUCCUAUUAUUCUUGUUAGUUUUGUUCGUUGUGCACUCUGAUAUUCAACUUGGUAUCAAAGCAGGUUUGAUCCUUAGGGAUUUAAUCUGCCCUUGAUUCGUAUCAGUUUGUUUGUUCAUCUUGUUCCUUGUUAGAUUGUCGUUGGUUUAGUUUUUUUUUUUAAAAAGGUUGAAUUUGUUUGCUUGGGAGGGCCGAGGCACACCGUGCUAAACCCAGAUCCCCAGUUCGAGACCACCACGAAUCUGCAUCUGUCUGCAACGUACCUGCACCACUUGAAUUUGCACCUGCUCGAACCGCUGCAAUCAUUGCAGCCAAGUUCAAUGAACAGGACCACUGUCGCACCAUUACACCUGCAGCUUGACGUGCUUUUGCGACCCCGUUCGAACCCGCCUGCAUCCGCAUCGGCACCCAGAUUUGUAGUCGUUGUUGCCCCACGUUGCUGCAGUCCGGCCUGUUUACAUCUAGAUCUUGUUCCUGCACUUGCAUCAUUGCACUCUUGUUUUUGCAGGUUCUAUGGAGAAGACUGUAGAAAAGAGGAAAAGAAAAGAAAAAAAAAAAGAGAAAAAGAGAAGAAAAAAGGAAUAAGAAAAAAGAGGGGGAUUAAAAAAAAAAGGAGAAAAAAAAAGGUAGAAAAGAAUAAAGACAAAAAACGUUGGUUUUUUGUUUGAAGGCCCACACGGGCAUAAAGAAAUAUAUGGUCUGUUUGGUUGGAAUUUUUUUUUUAUUGUUUGUUUGGAAGUUGGUAUUGAUAUCGGCAUCGGCAUUGGAAUUUGAAGGCUUGCAUCCACACCUGCUUGUUGGCAAACUCAUGUCGUGUACCGCCAUGAGUUUGACGAUGGGUGUUGGAAAAUAUUUGUAUUUUGAUUUAUUUGAAUGUUUAGUUUUCUGGGCUUAACCCAUUAGCAUUAGGUUUCGGUUUCUUACCUUUUAGGAUUAAGGUUAGUUUAUUAUAAAUAGUAUGCUUGUUAUUCAGUUGAGUACAAGUCAGUCACAAUGUAGCCUCUUAGGGUUUUGUAGCCGUUCCGGCAUUCUCGUUAGUUUAAUAAUAUUCCUAUUAUUCUUGUUAGUUUUGUUCGUUGCGCACUCUGAUAUUCAACUCUUGUUCGUUGCGCACUUUAAUAUUCAACUCUCCCUACUAUCCGAAAUUACCAAUUAGCAAUGAAUUUUCAACUUAUCUCUAAUUAACAUGUAAUUAUAUACAAGCAACAUUCACUUAAGAAUCACUUCCUACAAUGAAGCCGGCAAUACUCGAGAUUUAUAACUUCCAGAUGUAAGAAUAUUUACUCAUGUACAAGAUUCUUAAUUAGCUUGUGCACUGGGUACGACAAGAUUCUUAAUUAGCCUAUUUUCAUACCACUGAGAAAUAAAGAAAAGAUUUAAUUCCUCCGCGGCGUUGGAGAGGAGGCGCGGAUGGCCUCCCGGCAGUUACAAGAUGGGUAAGCUCCAAUUCGAUAGAAUGACGACACGAGCUUCACGGCAGCAGUCUUAACUUUACAAGCCACCUUGUUUAACUUCAUACAUCUUGAGCGUUGUGACUUAUCGGGUGAUUCAAACCUGUAGGAGUUUAGGAAUAUCUGGCGCUUCCGCUUGGCUCGGUCCUCAUUAUUCCUCAACGGAAUUUGUGCCACUUUCUUACGCUUAAACUACAUUGAUCUCCUCCCUCCAACACCAUGCCUGUUUGCACUUGUCUUCACUCGAUCCAAUGGCUCGUAACUAUAAAUAUCAAACCGCCGGCUCAUGCUGGUGGUGCCGCUGCGGACUAGACCGUCCAUGGCUGUAUAUAUGUGCUCAACUAUGGAUGCUAAUAGUGAGAUCAAUUAUUGAGCCGGAGAAGAUUUUAGGUUGCUAUAGCCUAUUGCAGUUCACUUUGAUCUUAUAUACAAGCAUAAGUAAAGAAUUUUUACUUUUUAGUGUUUGAAACAGCAAGUCAAAUACACACAGCAACCACCAGGAACGUCUUUCAGUAUUAUUUGUACUACCAUAAAAUUACACUUGGCUAUGUUGGGACGAGAUAUUUUCAAAUUUUAAGCAAUUGAAGUAAAGCUAUUUAGUAAGGAAUGGAUUACCAAAUGUUGAUGGGGGAUGGGAAAAUCCUCAUAUGAGCAUUAUUGUAAAUGUUGGAAUUUUUGGAUCGCUGGGCCCGCCCCACUCUAACGACACCGAUACUGUCCCCACUUAAUCACCUGCACAAUCCUCAGGUGUGGGGUUUUACCACAAAAGGCCUCGGUAUUAGUUAGAGUGGGGUAAUACUAUUUAAACCCCUUUGGUUUUCUUCACCCCACCGAUGUGGGACAGUUUAACACUCCCCCUCACGUGUAACCUCAUUUAGUGGUUUACACGUGGAGAUCCACAUCGGUGAUUGAAACUCAGAGGUCGGCUGACGUUGGGCCCACUUGUUUUCAAUUGGAACUCAGCGGUCGUCUCUAUAUUAAGAGCUCAGACUUGUUUCCUUCCGGGUGGUGACAAGCUCGUUGGCUUGCACGGGCCCGCAACCGUGGGCUCUGAUACCAUGUUGGAAUUUUUGGAUCGCUGGGCCCGCCCCACUCUAACGACACCGAUAUUGUCCACACUUAACCACCUGCACAAUCCUCAGGUGUGGGGUUUUACCACAAAAGGCCUCGGUAUUAGUUAGAGUGGGGUAAUACUAUUUAAACCCCUUUGGUUUUCUUCACCCCACCUCAUAUGAGCAUUAUUGUAAAGACAUGUGAGAGAGAUUUGCAAAUCACUACUUAAAAUGAGUCAUUUACAAGUCUCUCUCACAUGUUUUUGUAAUGCUUAUAUGAGAAUUCUUUUUAAUCCCUCCUAUCAACAUUUUGUGUUCUAUUUUAUAAACUAGACUUUAAUCUCUUAAGACUUGGAAAUUCCUCACACAAACAUAGCAUCAGGAAAUGUACCAGAUUGUUUUUUAUUACAUAUAAGAUCAUUUAUACCUAAUUUUUAGUCCUACCUAUGAAAAUUCAUGUGUGUGGUUGUCACAAAUAUCUAGUGUUACUAAUUCACAUACUUAAUUUAAUAAAAAAGUACGACAUAUAUUUUAGGGCAUAGACUAACGUGGUAGACCAAUUGAGCAUAACAAUGUCCUCGAUUUUUUCAUUCAUAUUCGAAUCCUUCUAGUAGAAUAUCAUUUUGUUAACAAAAAGUGUAGUAUAAGAUGUCCAAUAGCCAAAUUAAGCACAACUACAAGCAUGGAUCUGACCAUCAAUAUUUUGGAAUCCCAAUUACAUGGGAGUUCCCUUUCCUGACAUUUGACCAACAAGUGCAUAGGAUUUAAUUAGAUAGGUGUAAAAUAUUCGAUGAUUUCAAGCAAAGUAUUUCUAACUAGAAGUGCAACAUAUGUAUUUUUAUAUUGACUUUGGAUUUUGCUUACGAAUUUGAAAGCCUUUCUUAUAACAAAUAACAAUACGAUAAACGAUGUCCAUUACAAAAACGAUAAGAUCGAUCGAUAAUCCAUUUGCUUUUUCAAAUGGGCUAAUUGGACUGUUAGACUAAAAAACAAAUUAAAAAGCACACACCAGAAUAAAAUUAAACAUUUCCCUAACCUGCAUCCUUUGGAGAAAAAGCUUAAUAAAAAAGAAAAGCACAUUGUUCUUAUCUAAAGAUUCAAGAUAUAUCGAUCUUCUACAUUUUCUCAUCCGAACUUUAAGUUUACCAGAUUUGAGAAGAGGACCACCAAUUUUGAGAGCUAUAUAUGGGAUGGACCUACUGGUGCUCAUCUAUUACAUGUACUGCAGGCUUAAUCUGCAGCAGCCAGCAGUACCCAGGCUUUUAGGCCUUUAACUAGCUUAAUUAAUAUAGGCAUCAUGCAUUUGCGUCUGGAGAAAAAUAUUUUUUUUAUCACAAGUUAUAUACAAUCAGGCAUAUGGUUUUAUUAUUAUGCAAUUAGUUAUGUGAUUAGUGAUAGACACAUGCAUAAUUGUGUAUAACGAAUGACAACUAAUAAUUUUAUUGAAAAUCUCUUAUCGGUGAAUCAACAAAAAUUACAAUAUGUAAUAAAAGCAACCUCACACCUCGCACAGCUAGGCAUGUGGGAGAUAAUUGUGAAAGAGAGAGUGGAGAACUAUUGGCCCGUCUCUUUGAAAUUUAAUAACUUUUUCUCCUAUGUUAAGAAUAUGCAAUACUAGCCAGUGACCACCUAACAAAGGGGCUUCACAUUUGAGACGGUCCAUGAAGAACAAUAGAGUAGCUUAUAAAGUUCACCAAAUAUAGCAGCUACCUAUCCAGCAAGCGGAGAUGUUAUUAAUGGAAGUCACAGGCUCCCAGCAGAUCCGCAGUGCCAAAUUUAUUAUCAAUCUUAACCUUCAAUUUUCAUUUGUACCAAAAUACAUAAAUUAAUGAAGCUUGCAUUUAUGGCUGUGUAUGCGUUUCCAAAGUCUGAGUCAGAGCAGUUCACGUAAAAGAAAGCACCAUUUUAAUUCAGUAAAUUCUUGAGCAAUUAGCCGUAUCACCAUUCUUCCAUGGAACCACAGAGGCAAAGCUUGAUGAGUCCUGUGACUAUCUGUUACUUAAACAUGCAAAUCUCGUAGCUUUCAUGUGACCUCUUCUUUUCAUACCACUUUCUCCUGUGAUUUGGUUCAAUACUUUCUUCUUAAUUUUUCUCAUUUCUCCAGCCUCAUUCCUCUAUAUAUUCAUCUCCUUCAACCCUUUUCUUCUUACCAAUAUCUCAAUCCCACAACAUCCUCUCUAGCUUGCAAAACCCUAUUGUUUUCCGAAACAAAAGAAGAAAAAAGAAGCAAAAUUAAAAAAAAUCAUGAAGGGUUCAAUUUGUGUAGCUACAUUUGUUGUUGUCCUUCUUUUCCUUCCACAAGCCAUGUCCGCAAGGCGCAUAGCUCGGCCUCAUUCACGUAUGAUUACUCUGGAUUAAACUUAUUUAUUAUAAACUGUAAUUAAUUAACAUUAAACAAGUCUUCGUUUUUCUUUUUUUACAUUUUUUCUGAUGAUAAAAUAUGUCAUGCAGAUCAUCAUGGGCGCCAUCUGAAGAGUACAAUUAGAGAAGCAUUGGUGGAGAAAAAGGCAAGUAAUUAUAAGAGAGUUAGGGGGCCAGAUACAGUCCAAGUGGCAGGGUCGAGCUUGCCAGAUUGCUCCCAUGCUUGUGGAUCUUGCAGACCAUGCAGACUAGUGAUGGUGAGCUUUGUUUGUGCAUCAAUCACUGAGGCUGAAGCAUGUCCAAUGGCUUACAAGUGCAUGUGCAAAAACAAGUCUUAUCCUGUUCCUUAGUUUCACUUGUUCAUCACUGUGAUUAUUCAACAUCAACUAAUUUAGUCAAAUUUUCCUUCUUUUUGAACCCUCCAAUUUCUUUGCUAGGUAGAGAUUUUGUGUAACCAGAGUGUUUGUUACUGAUGUUUAAUAUUAUAAAAUCACCAAAGACUCGAAUUUUCUUCGUUCAGUGGGUUCAAAAUUAUCUAAAGUUUAAUCUUCACGAAGAGCCUUUUAUGUUCUCUAUUUCAUAUGUAACAAGCCACGAAAGUAAAUUAGCUUAAGCAUAUAAGGAGCUCCAUCCUCUGGCAACCAGCAUCUUGGAUGUUAAAAUUUUAUGAGUAAAAGAUGGAACUAAAAAAAUACAACACAAGUUUAGGUAUUAAUAUGGUGCUGGAUCGCCUUUGCUGAUAUACGUAGCAACGUUGAGUUGAAGCUUAUUAUUUUCGGCGACCGUCACAACUCUAGCCCUUUUUUGGAUGACUUAAGGUAUUUCUGGGCUUUGUUACAUUUGUAUGGCCAUUGCCCCAAAGUUACAGAAAAAAGAGGGGUGGGGCAUGUUAAAAUUAGUUAAGCAUGACAUUAAAUAACACUCUUAAACACUUCAACUGUGAUAUUCAUCAUAUAAAAUAGCACUCUUUGUGUCAUAAUGAUCAUGAAGAACGACCUCCAACAACGCAUUUAACACUCAAAAUGAACAGUUUGUAUAGGUUGUAACUUGUAGUGGAUUGACUAUUUAUGUAAUCUCAUGUUAAUUUUAUGAACGUAAGAUCAUUGUGGAUUUUGAUAAUGAAUAAUCGAAUAAAUCAUACGGAAGUCUAGCCAAUUAUAAUUAUUAGAAAAAUUAUAAAAAAAAGAAGAAAUAAAGGGCCAAAAUUACACCAUAACUAGAUUUCAAACUCAAAUACGUAUAGGUGAGCAUAUAAUUUAUAUCGUCAUGUUUAUGUUUGUGAGUCAAAUGAUUUUAGUUUGUACAUUUAAACCCGUGUUAGAGUAACAUAAUUUUGCACGUGCGAGGCCACAGGGAAAAGAACAAACCCGCCAAGGCCAAAAGAGAAGCACCGGAGGGAGAGCAAAUGUCUAGGCUGGUUUGCAGGAAAUUGACUGGUUUGAUAUGACAGAUUGACACAAAACUUCCCAAAACAAAACAAUUCCUUUUUUGAAUGCAAGAAUGCAAAAUUGUUAACUCUAAAAAAAACAAAAAAAGGGAUAAUGUCAUUCUUCCUCCUCCUCCUCCUCCUCCUCUUCGUUCUGUAUCAUUCCUGCUCCCACCACCACCACUUUCUUCCAGCGGGCCCUGCCGUGACACCAUCAUCGCCAACAGAACCACCACCGCCAACAUGUCUCCUCAGAUGCCAUAGCAGGUAUUCUCUCUCUCUCUCUCUCUCCCUCCUCUAUGGAUUGUAUGUUGCAACGUACAUAAUAUUUGUCUUGUAUGUCAAUGCUAUGAGUGCCGAGGUACCCACCCACCUCACCUUUUCAGAAAAGUUUCAAUCCUUGAUCGUAAAUUAUGCAAAAGGAAGGCCAUUAAUUGUGCUAUUAAUCUUUUCCCUCUAAAAAGUUCCCAUCUUCAAAGCUUUUGGGGCACCAAGCAAUUAUGCCAUGAUUCCAUUCCUUGAUUUUCUGUGUUUUUCCUUAAAGUGAUUUGGGAUAGAAAAAAGGAGAAAAAGCUGAAUAAUUGUGAGGUUAAAUUAUAGGAGAAUACUGAAGAGCAUGAGUUGUUGAGCGCAAUCAUUUUGCCUUUGCCACCAUUUUUUUUUCAUAUACUUUUUGUUUUUGGCCUUUUCGCUUUCGGUUAAGGAGGGUGAAAGAUUAUCUCUUUCUCUUCCUCUUUCUGGAUUUUAGCCUCCUCAUGAGAUCAAGGAAGCGUAGACAAUGCUUUCCUUCUUGCUCUUCCUUUCGCAAAGUGAGCUUUUAAUUAGUCCCAUCUCUCUUUCUGUUUGUGAAUCGAAGAUUCGUGUUACUAACUGUUGAUUUUUUCUCCCAUUGAUAUUUACUCUUAGAGCCUUUUCUAAUGGUUCAUGACAGGUUUUGUUUUUACUUUUUCCUCAGAACGUGUUUAUAUCAGUUGAACGAUUUUAUUUUUCGUUGUGUUUGCCACAUUUUUAAGGAGUUAGAACUUUGCCUUUCGUUUGUGUGCUCUACGUGCUCUGUUGGCUUCUAAAUGUUUGAUGUUAUCACAUUAGACUAGAGGUUAUUGGAUCGGUCCAUAAUUUGAAACCUUUUCUAUGCUAUCGUGUGUUAUGUGCAACGAUUUAUAAGUAUUGAAAUGCUACCGAAUGUAGGUUGAUGAGGAUGAAAAUUAUAGGAGACGGAAAAAGUGCAAUGAAGAGUUGGAAUGGCCACACAAUUCAACUCAUGUCAAAUCGCAGUUAACUCAAUGUUUUAGUGAGUGGAGUGUUUCUCUUCCAUUCAAUUCUUCUUUUGGUUCCCAACAGAGGAAAACUGUGUCUCAUGUAUUUCUAUCAAUAAUUAUGGUGACGACAUUUACUUCGAAAUGACGAACAGAACGCCUUUAGUUCAUGCACACAUUUCAUCUGUUAUAUCGUAUGCAAUUGACGGCUUGAAGCAAAUCUCUUGAAUUGUAAUAUCCAUUGUAUACACUGAGACCAAUGCUACUGAUCAAGUUCUUCUUAAACUACCAAAACUUUAUAAUAAAAUGUGUACAUAUGAUCCUAUUACACUCUGUUCACAAAAUUUCAGUUUUCACUAACGAGUUUUUAGCCGUUGUAGUUAAUGCUAUGGUUGGACCACGAUCAUGGACAGGACUAUUUACGCGGUCAAAUAACAGACGAAAUGACUCCUUAAGUCCUUUUCAGGUAUAUAGUUGUGGUGUUCCCUUGCCAACUUUUGCUUCUGAUGUUGAAUUUGUUUAUGAACAGUUAAUUUCUAAGGACUUGUAUAGAUAUAUGUGAAACUGCCGUAGAGUGUGAAAUAGUAUGACAUUGUCACUUUGUAUUUAAAAGCUUUCUUGGAAUUUCUGAAGACUUAAGCAUGCAAUUCUAGCUUUGGUCACUUUUAGGUUCUUAAGUUAAGUACUUUGGUGUUACCCACCUUACUGGACUUCCAAUGAAAUUUUCAACUUCUAUAUACAGGAACAGAGACUUCUGAGGCUUCAAGCACGAUUACAAGUACCUUUUGACGAGAAUCGCCCUGAUCAUCAAGUAUACUCUUCAUGCUGGUUCUGAACAUGUUUUUUUAUUAUUACUCUUGUCCAUUGUUGUCUUGGUUUAAUGUGGCUAAAAUGAGCUACGAUAGAUUCUGAUGACCGUACAUUGUUUAUUUCAUUAUCUAUGAUUCGAGUCUGCUAGAGAAACGAUUUGCUAUCAUGACUAAACCAUUUGAUUGCAAUUUAGUUUUCAUGCCGAAUCUUCAAUAGCAGUACAAGAUUUAAAUCUUAUCUUGUGACCAUUAUGCUUCAGGAAGCCUAAACCCCUUUUCGAUAGCUAUUUGGUUCUUCAUCGUUGAAUAAGUCUACGUUAUUCCAUUUAACUUCAGGAAGCCUUGAAAGCAUUGUGGCAUGCUGCCUUUCCAGAUGUUGCUCUGCAAGGUCUGAUCUCCGACCAAUGGAAAGAGAUGGGUUGGCAAGGUUCUAACCCCUCUACCGACUUUAGGUACAAUUCUAUCCAAUUGAAACAAAGUUAGUCUGACAGUUUGAAAUUGAAAUACUUCGUCUUAUUACUAGACUGUACUAUUGCAAUUCCAUAGUUUAUCCUCUUAUAGUGAAAUGCUCUCUUCAGGGGUUGCGGUUUUAUCUCCCUCGAGAACUUGCUUUUUUACGCCAGGACUUAUCCAGUAUGCCCUCUUGACCUGCAAAUAUUCACAUCUUCUCUUUCUGUGUUUUAGCUUACUAAUCAUAUAAAAUUCAAAAUGAAGGCAUCUUUCCGUAGGUUAUUGUUCAAGCGAGAUGGAAAUCGAGCAACUUGGGAAUACCCGUUUGCUGUUGCUGGCAUAAAUAUAUCAUUUAUGUUGACUGAAAUGCUGGAUCUUUGCUCAGGUUUGUAAAGAAGUUCUAACAUCUAUACCAUGAAUAGAUUUUCUUAUCAUGUUUAAUUGUAACGUUAAAUUGAAAUCAUCUUCUUUCUUGAAGCAAUUCAAACCAUCUGUUUCACAAAAUUUUAUAUAAGGAAAGUUCUUGAAUCUUCCUCGUCUCCUCAUAUACUUUGCAGAAAAACCAAGGUGUCUUCCAGGAAUAAAUUUCGUGAAACUAUUAGGAGGUAAAUGUACAUCUCAGAUAAGGUUAUGCUCAAAUGUCUUCUGUUUGGUUACAGAUCAAAUGUCUUAAGAGUUAGAGAACUGUUAAAAAACAACACAGGUUACUGAUAUCGACCCUCAUGAAUUAUGAGUUGCUUGCAGAAGAUGAAGCCGCCUUUGAUGUACUGUAUUGUAUAGCUUUCGAAAUGGUUGAUGCUCAGUGGCUCGCAGUGAAUGCGUCCUACAUGCAGUUUAACGUAACUCUCUCGCUCUAAGCAUGCACAUUAUCACAAGCAUGCGCGCACAACUUUCUAAUGUUCGAAUUCCUCAGAAAUCAUGCCUAGCAUUUUCAACACUUAUCAAAUAUUAGAAAAAUGUAUUUGAAACCUAGAAUUCUACAUAUUAUCCUCGGCUGUAAUAACUACUUAACAAGAUAUACUUUAACUAUCCCAUACCAACGAGAACGUGCGAACCUCAUCUAUUUGUUUUUCAAUAUGCCCUUUAGUUAAUGCUGGUUUAUAUUUGUUCACUCGUUUCUUAGUUUAUCCUUGAUAACACAUCUUCCUGGUAAUUUCAAACUCUUUAACCAUUAGAGUUGAGCAUUCAUUGCAACACAGCUUCUUGUUUAACUUAGGUCAUAUUGGCUUGUUUGUUUGAUGAGCUUUCCAAUCACUAACCCUUAAUUUUCUGCUUCAAUCGUUCAGGAGGUUCUACAAGCAACAAGGACGCAGUUGGAAAGGGAGCUGUCUUUGGAAGAUACUCAAAGAAUACAUGAUUUACCAGCUUACAAUCUAUUGUACCAGUAGCUAGCUUUAGAGGUAGUACAAAAUCCCCUUGAAAAUUUGCUUGAAUGGUUACUAGAUGGAAUGAAUAAUGAUGAUCAAACCAAGAAUUGAAAUGAUUUGAGUAUCUACAAUUAUUAUUGGAGAAAUUUUGUAAUGCUUCAAGCUGCGUAAUAACUACGUUAUCUUUCAAACUCUAUUCACCCCACAUCUAAUGUUAAAGCGAAUAUACAAAUAAGUUAUGUGGGUACAAUGAAGCCCAACCUAAUGGUAUGUGUUAUCGUUUUGUGUUUGUCAAACUUUUACUCUUAAGAUAAACCAAACACAGUGAGAGACAGACAAGAAUAUUCAAGACUUAACUAAAAACGUAAUAUUGCAUAGUUUAAUUUCUAGAGUCUUAAAUGUAAUAACAAUAUUUAGAUGGAACAUGCAUUUUGCUAGAAGUCUAGACAUAUUAAAAGAAAUAAUGGAUUUGAUUGUCUUCAAAUCUUUUGCAGACAAGAAUAUUCAAGACUUAACUAAAAACCUAAUAUUGCAUAGUUUAAUUUCUAGAGUCUUAAAUGUAAUAACAAUAUUUAGAUGGAACAUGCAUUUUGCUAGAAGUCUAGACAUAUUAAAAGAUAUAAUGGAUUUGAUUGUCUUCAAAUCUUUUGCAGUCUACCCCUAUGUAUGCAUCUCUUAGAAUGGUGUUGCAUGUACCACUUGGUUUUGGACACAAUUCUUGAUCAAGAUCUUGUUCUAGAAAACACUACGGCCAUUUCCUUGAUAUGUCAAUUUUAUCGGAACAAAAGUAAUCUACGCAUCUGUCAGUGUAUGCGAGAUAGUUCUAUCGGCUUGAUCUUGUCAAUGAAAGGUGAGCUGCUCAUACAGGUUAUGUCUUUUUUGAGUGCUACGUCAGUGGUCUUGAUGCGCUGAAAUUCGUGCAAUUGUUCUACUACGAGUCUUUGUACUUCUUCAUGGAUUUUCCUAUACUAAGGCAACAAAGCCUCUGACUACCUCCGGUGUUGACUUGCUGGUCUGUACUGUUCUUCUACUUAUCCUCCUGGUUUGUGUCGUGGCUACGGUGUACGUGGUUCAUCUCUGGCUGGUGAGCAAGCUGCUCGUAGUAGCUCUUGGCGUGGGUUGCCAAUUGAACUCGAGAUGGACUGCUCUCGUGUUUUCCUUUGUUCGUCGUGUUACCUACUCUGGUGCUUGAUAAGAGAAACUUCUUGCAGGCCUAGCCAUGAGUGGACACUUCAUUUGGAAUGUCUGGAAUGCUUGUCAUAGUAUGGACCCAACCGUGAAUGUAUGUUGAACUUAAGGGCUAAGUAGGGAAUGUACACUUCCAGAAUGCUUGGUUCAUGGCUGGUCAAAUGGCUAUUUGCUAAGACAUUGCUGGUAAGAGUCAUGAUGAUCUGCCCUUGUUCUGCUUUGGGAUACCUCGCCUGGGGCGAGCUGCAUCUCAAUGUGCUUCAGGAGCUGGUUCACCAUAGUCGUCUGCUGCGCAAGGGCACUGGUUAGGUCGGCAACCUACCAGGACAGGUGUUGUUCGCCAUUUGGGGUGAAAGAGCUCGGAUGAUGGGCAUCUCCGUAAGUGGUGGAAGUGUAAUGAGUUACAGGUGCAAAACUUGGGCCUAGAUAAAGCAAACCUAUGGAAAAAAUGGCAAAAUUACCCUUGGUCCAGUCACCGGUCCAAAAAUCAGUUACCCAACCUGAGUAAGAGCUAGUUUGGUGACUUGAAGCCAGGUCAUCUAAAAUGGCUUGAAAACCAGUAUAAGGACCUGUGGUUGGGUCGAUAGAGCAGGUUUGGCGCACGAGCAUGGAACCGUUUCGGCUUGGCCCGCUUAACCGUGGGCUAGAACCCGUUGGGCUUACACGUGGGUCGCCUGCCCUUGGGCUUGGAGUUUCUCUGCUAUUGCUCGCUAAGUUUGGGUCGUCUGGGCUACAUGGUUCGCAGCUGCUGCAAUGGACUGGGCUCAUGCCCGUGUCACCCUUGAGCUUCAUGCCUUAGGCUUUCUAUUCUAUGGACAUGAAUUUUAUGCCCAGGGUUUGUGGUUGCACCGUUAUAGGCUUAGGCUUUGGUUGCUCGACUUACAACAGGGGUUGCCAUCGCAUGGGCCUUUUGUCCGUGGUUUGUAGCUGCAACUACAGCGUGGGCUGUUGCUUGGUGGACGCGUAGUGGUUGCUAGGCAGCGGCCACAGUGGAGGUAAUGGUGCUCCACGGCGGUAGGGCACCACCUACCAUUGUGUUAUGUGUUGAGGAUCAUCGAUGUGGAGCAACAUCUUGGUAUUUGUUCUCCGACCCAAAUACUUGAACGUAGAGCAUUCCAUUCGUCAUGGUUCCAGAAUUUUCUACCAUUGUAUCCUUUCUCUAGGGACUAAUCAAGAAACUAUUCUUUGAAAAAUUAAAUGAUAUUGCGUGUGAGAAAUUCAAUAUAACAAAAUAUUCUAAAAAUCAAUUGCGAGAUUCUUCUUUGAGUGUUUGAAUCAAGCUCUCAAUGAAAGCACCAAUAUGUGGUAGCAAAAAUCCGAUGUCUUUAGUCUUGACAAAUUUGUACCUACAAAACAAUCAACACAUUUGAUUAAAGACCAAAGCCUUAUGUGCCCACAAGGCAGGGGUAGGGGGAGUUUGGCCAAUGGAUCGUCGAUGCCUAAGUUAGUUUCUAUGAAAAAAGUGAGUGUUUAAGGCUUGUAUGCGUAGGAAAAAGCUUGCCAAAAUUUGGUGGAGAUAGAGGUAUUUAUAGGAGGAGGUGGCUGACCAUGGGGUUAGGGUUUUGCCUACACAUGUUGGCAUCCUACUGGCUAAUGUGUGUCAUCCGUUGGAUGAAUGAGGCAAACACAUCCCCAAAAUAUUAAUUAAGAUAAAAUUUCUUGGGAUAAUGGUGGAAGUAUCCCUAAUUCAUUGUGAUAAGGAUUCAUUACUUGAUUGAGUUGAUCUUCAAUUGGGAAUGUAUUAAAGACAUGAUUUAGUAAUUAACCCUAUCUUUAAUACCUUUGACUUUUUCAUGCCAUGAGUAAGGCAGCUUUGAGUAGUCGUAGUCAGCUGCUUGGACACUUAGGGAUGUUGAGCUGCACGUGGGAACAGUGGAGGGUCCUGCCCAUUUAAUGAAGGCAAAAAAAAAUUCAGGUCUGGUAUUUUGAUUUUCUGAGAUUAUUUAUGUAAUUGUUGUUCAUCGAAUUUUCUUAGAUCCAAACUAAAAUAAUAACAUCCCUUUCAUAUAAUUUCCUAAUACAUAUAGAUAUAUUAACUUCACAUUUAAGAAAUUCUCCCCGAUCCCGAUCUAUCUAAAAAAAAAAAAAAAAAAGGUCGUACCCAGUGCACAAGGCUCCUGCUUUACGCAGGGUCUGGGAGAGGUGAAUGUCGGCUAGCCUUUCCCCCAUAUAUGGAGAGGCUGCUCCCAAGCCCGAUCUAUCUAAAAAAUAGUUAUAAUUCAUUUAUCAUAUUUACACAUACAUAAGAGCUUAUGCAUGAAGGAAGCCACAUAUUAUAUAUCAUAUUUUACUAAAUAGAUAUAUCCAUGUUAUGAUCCAAGUAUGAUUUUGAAUUGAGCUAUUUACUAAAAUGUACAAUAUUGAACAUUAAUCUGUUGUAGACUUAGCAUUAUUGAUUAGAGUAACGUAAUCAAUCCUUCAAGUAUAAAUUAUCAUAUUGUUUCUUAAACAAAUAGCAGUAAAUUUGUCGGCUAGUUAGUGCAUGUGCAUUAGGAGGUUGAUUAAUCCAUACAUUCAACAUAUUUCCAAUAAUUAAUUGAUUCCUUCAGCUUUAACUGCUACCUGCUACACCGAGUACUACACUUUACCAAAAGGUUUCAACAUUAUUGAGAUUAUAUAAUAGGGAUGUGAUAUCCACUCAUUACAUUUUACUUCUCACACACAUUUUUAAUUUUCGGCCGUCGGAUCGGAUAAAUUGAAGAAGAUCAACGGAUAGAAAUUAACAAGAAUGUGUGAGAAGUAAUUUUGGGUGUGUGGGUAGCACACCCCUAUAUAAUAUUCCCUUCUUUAUAUAACUCAUGUAUCUGAAAAAUAGUUAUAAUUCAUUUAUCAUAUUUACACAUAUAUAAGAGCUUAUGCAUGAAGGAAGCCACAUAUUAUAUCAUAUUUUACUAAAUAGAUAUCCGUAUUAUGAUCCAAGUAUGAUUUUGAAUUGAGCUAUUUACUAAAAUGUACAAUAUUGAACAAUAAUCUGUUGUAGACUUAGUAUUAUUGAUUAGAGUAACGUAAUCCCUUACGUAUAAAUUAUCACAUUGUUUCUUAAACAAAUAGCAGUAAAUUUGUCGGCUAGUUAGUGCAUGUGCAUUAGGAGGUUGAUUAAUCAACACAUUCAACACAUAUCCAAUUAUUAAUUGAUUCCUUCAACUUCAACCGCUACCUACAACACCUACUGAGUACUCCAGUUUACCAAAAGGUUUCAACAUUAUUGAGAUUAUAUAAUAUUCCCUUCUUUAUAUAACUCAUGUAAUUAGCACCACUUUCAAAAGUACUCUAUAGAUUGAAAUGCAGGAAGAACCAGAAAUUGAGGCAAGCCUAAGAGGCCAAGCAGAUAUAUGGAAGUACAUGUUUGGUUUUGCUGAUUCCAUGGCCUUAAAAUGUGCUGUGGAGCUACGCAUAGCCGAUAUCAUACACUCCCAUAGACCUAGUGAUGGUGCCUCAAACUCAAACCCUAUGAUCGCUUUGUCCCAAUUAGCCUCAUGCAUAGCACCCUCCCCAGACAUCACUUCCCUCACACGCAUCAUGAGACUUCUUGUCCGCCGGAAUAUAUUCGCCGUUCAUCACCCAUCUGAUGGCGGGGAACCUCUUUAUGGUUUGACACAUUCAUCAAGAUGGUUGUUACAUGACGCAGAGCUGAGUCUAGCGCCUAUACUUAUGAUGAAUAAUCACCCCUGCCUAAUGGCGCCUUGGCACUAUUUCAGCCGAAGAGUCAAAGAAGGAGGUCCAUGUGCCUUUGAGAUGGCCCAUGGGCUUGAUAUUUGGGACUACGCUUCUCAAAAUCCAGAGAUCAACAAAUUGUUCAAUGAUGGCAUGGCCUGUACUUCUAGGUUUGAAUUGAAGGAAAUACUCACAGGUUAUGAACAUGGGUUUGAUGGUGUGGGAUCGUUAGUGGAUGUAGGUGGUGGGACUGGAAGUGCAGUGGCUGAGAUUGUCAAGGCCUAUCCCAACAUCAAAGGUUUCAAUUUUGAUCUGCCCCAUGUCGUAGCCACAGCACCGGUGUACCAUGGCGUGUCACAUGUAGGUGGUGAUAUGUUUGAGGGCAAUAUUCCAAAUGCGGAUGCAGUUUUCAUGAAGGUAAUUCUCUUUUACAUUCCAGUUAUGGUAUGAUUGUAGCCUUGUAGGUAUGGAUUUCUUUCCUUUUGUCACCUUCAAGGGGACGACCUCGUAGUUUUUGGUUUGUGAAGAAACGUUGUUAGUUAGAGAUAGUAUUCUUGCCUAAAAUUGAAAUGACACUAAUUAAUUUUUUAUUAAUGUAGCGUAUUAUGCACGAUUGGAGUGAUAGUGAUUGCAUCAAGAUUUUGAAGAAUUGUCGAAAAGCAAUACCCGAGAAAAGUGGCAAGAUCAUUAUUGCUGAUAUAGUUCUAGAGCCAAAUGGUGAAGGGACUCUGAAUGACACACGAUUGGUCAUUGAUUUAGUGAUGAUUGCACACACGUCAGGAAGGGAGAGAACCGAGAAUGAAUGGAAGAAGAUAUUGGAAGAAGGAGGUUUCCCUCGCCACAAAGUCAUCAAAAUUCCAGCUUUAGUAUCCAUUGUUGAGGCCUACCCUAUGUGAACUAAAUUCCAGUAUCAUGCAAAUGUUGUAGUUAUUAUGUAUUGUCAAUAAAACGAUCCUCAAUCGUAGUGAUUCAAGCUGGCUUAAGUCCUUGCGGUACUUCCAUUAGAAACUAACACCAUUCAUUCGAAUAAUUGCAAAACCCGACAAACCCAUGACUACUAAUUAAUUAAACUGGUUCAAUCUUGAUCAUCCAAUACUCUUCAAAAUCCUUGGCUUCGUAUGGAAUCCUCAAAAACCCAUCGUUGCAAACCCUUAUACCUCAGCUGAUCUAUAUAGCAGCUGCAAGAACUUUUCAUGAAGGAGCAACUUGGUAUGAACCAUGAAACGUCCACACCAACACAAACAGGCACGUAACCUUUCGGUGUUGUAGAAAGAGAACUUUCAGUCUUUUCGCUCCUAUUAACUAGCUCAACUUGCCGCUUCUUCUCACCCCCAUUAGCAAAAAGCAAAGCACUCUCUUCAUCUGUAAUUCUGGAUUAGUACUUCAAUUCAUUUUAAGUACAUGGUACUUCCUCAGUACAAAUUGAAGGCCGUGCUAUCUUCGUACUCUCUGCUUGCCGAUUAGAUGUUGGUUAAUUAACGAUGUUUUUUAAGUCAAUAACUUAAUGAUUGUGGCAUGCAUCUUAAUUUACAUGCCAUUAAUCUAAUGGUAAAUUGUCAGGUACAUAUAUAGUCUUUGUGAGCAGGCAACAUGGGUGACUACAAAGUUGAAAAUAGAUUUAAAUAUGAAUAAACUGCCGAUUUUCCUGAACUUUCACCUAACUUUCGAUUUACCCUCUAAACUUUUAAAUUGGAAAAUCAAGGAGUUAAAUUAAUUUUUUUGGCCAAUUUCCCCCUUAUGGUUAGUUUUCCAUAGAUUCCAUCCAAAUUAACAUUCACUCUUAUACGUGCAUGCCACGUGACUGUCCUUUGAGAACAAAAAAGUCACUUCGCUAGACCUUCAGACACAAAAAGUAAAGAAAAUAGAAUCACACAAAUUUGCACAGGUUCAUUAAGUUAAGCAUGCAGUUCUAGCUUUGGUCACUUUUAGGUUCUUAAAGUUAUGUACUUUGCUGUUAUCCACCUAACUGGACUUCCAAUAAGGAAAGGUAAUUGUUCUUGAAUCUUCCUCGUCUCCUCAUAUACUUGCAGAAGAACCAAGGUGUCUUCCAGGAAUAAAUUUCGUGAAACCAUUAGGAGGUAAAUUACAUCUCAGACAAGGUUAUGCUCAAAUGUCUUCUGUUUGGUUACAGAUCAAAUGUCUUAAGAGUUAGAGAACUGUUAAAAAACAACACAGGUUGCUGAUAUCGACCCUCAUGAAUUAUGAGUUGCUUGCAGAAGAUGAAGCCGCCUUUGAUGUACUGUAUUGUACAGCUUUCGAAAUGGUUGAUGCUCAGUGGCUCGCAAUGACUGCGUCCUACAUGCAGUUUAAUGUAACUCUCUCGCUUUACGUAUGCACAUACACAAACAUGCACAUUACCACGAGCAUGCGCACACAACUUUCUAAUGUUCGAAUUCCUCAGAAAUCAUGCCUAGCAAUUUCAACACUUCUCAAAUAUUAGAAAAUUGUAUUUGAUACCUAGAAUUCUACAUAUUAUCCUCGGCUGUAAUAACUACUUAACAAGAUAUACUUCAACUAUCCCGUACUAACUAGAACGUGCGAACCUCAUCUAUUUCUUUUUCAAUGCGCCCUUAAGUUAAUGCUGGUUUAUAUUUGUUCACUCGUUUCUUAGCUUAUCUUUGAUGACACACCUUCCUGAUGAUUUCAAACUCUGAACUAUUAUAGUUGAGCAUUCAUUGCAUCACAGCUUCUUGUUUAACAUAGGCCAAAUUUGCUUGUUUGUUUGAUGAGCUCUCCAAUAACUAACCCUUAAUUUUUUGCUUUCAAUCCUUCAGGAGGUUCUACAAGCAACAAGGACGCAGUUGGGAAGGGAGUUGUCUUUAGAAGAUACUCAAAGAAUAUAUGAUUUACCAGCUUACAAUCUAUUGUACCAGUAGCUAGCUUUAGAGGUAGUACAAAAUCCCCUUGAAAACUUGCUUGAAUAGUUGCUAGAUAGGAAUGAAUAAUGAUGAUCAAACCAAGAUUGCAAUGAUUGAGUAUCUAUAAUUAUUGUUGGAGAAAUUUUGUAAUGCUUCAAGCUGCGCAAUAACUACGUUAUCUUUCAAACUCUAUUCACCCCUCGUCUAAUGUUAAAGCGAAUAUUCAAAGAAGUUAUGUGGGUACAAUGAAACCCAACCUACCAGUAUGUGUUAACGAUGUUUGUUUGUCAAAGUUUUACUCUUAAGAUAAACCAAACACAGUGAGAGAGACAAGAAUAUUCAAGACUUAACUAAAAACCUAAUGCUGCAUAGUUUAAUUUCUUGAGCCUUAAAUGUAAUAACAAUAUUUAGAUGGAACAUGCAUUUUGCUAGAAGUCUAGACAUAUUAAAAGAAAUAAUGGAUUUGAUUGUCUUCAAAUCUUAUGUAGUCUACCUCUAUGUAUACAUCUCUUAGAAUGGUGUUGUACUUACCACUUGGUUUUGGACACAAUUCUUGAUCAAGAUCUUGUUCUGGAAAACACUACGGCCAUUUCCUUGAUAUGUCAAUUUUACUGAACAAAAGUAAUCUUUGCAUCUGUCAAUGUAUGCAGGAUAAUUAUGUUGCCUCGAUCUUGUCAAUGAAAGGUGAGCUGCUCAUACAAGAUACGUCUUUUCUUAGUGCUAUGUCAAUGGUCUUGAUGUGCUGAAAUUCGCGCAAUUACUCUGCUACGAGUCUUUGUACUUCAUCCUGGAUUCCUAUAUUGAGGUAGCGGAGCCUCCGACUACCUCUGGUGUUGACUUGCAUGUAUGUACUAUUCUUCUACUUGUCAUCCUCUUUGUGUCAUGGUUGCGGUGUUCAUGCUUCAUCUCUGGCUGGUAAGCAAGCUGCUCGCGGUAUCGCUUGGCGUGGGCUGCCAAUUGAACUCGAGUUGGAAUGUUCUCGUGUUUUCCUUUGUUCAUCGUGUUACCUGCUCUGGUGCUUGAUAGGAGAAACUUUUUGCGGGCCUAACCGUGAAUGGACGUUUUACCUGAAAUGUCUGGAAUGCUUGUUGUGUGAACCCAACCGUGAAUGUACAUUAAACUCAAGGGCUAAAUCAAGAGUGUACACUGCCAUAACGCUCGAUUUGUGGCUAGUCAAGUGGUUAUUUGUUAGGAUGUCGCUAGAAAAAGUUAUGAUGAUCUGCCUUAUUCUGCUUUGGGAUACCUCGCUUGGGCGAGCUACAUCUCGAUGUGUUUCAGGAGCUAGUUCACCAUAGUCGUCUACUGCGUGAGGGUGCUAGUUAGGUCGGCGACCUACCAAGACAAGUGUUGUUCGCCAUUUGGGAUGAACGAGCUCGGAUGAUGGGCAUCUCCGUAAGUGGUGGAAGUGUAAUGAGUUACAGGUGAAAAACUCAGGCCUGGAUAAGGCAAACUUAUGGAUAAAAUGGCAAAAAUACCUUGGUCCAGUCACAUGUCCAAAAAUCAGUUCUCUCAGCCUCAGUCAGAACCAGUCUGGUGACUUGGAGCCUUGUCAACUAAACUGGUCGGUUCCACUUAUCUCGUCUAGUCAUGGGCUAGAACUCAUUGAGCUUGCACAUGGGUCGCCUACCCGUGGGCUUAGAGCGUCUGUGUUAUUGCUCACUGGGCUUGGGUCGCUUGGGCUACAUGGUUCCCAACUGUUGCAGUGGACUGGGUCUCCAGCCCAUAACUCCCAUAAGCCUUUUGCCUUAGGCUUUAUGUUCCAUGGACCUAAGCCUCAUGUUCAGGGUUUGUGGUUACGCUGUUCUAGGCUUAGGCCUCAGCUGCUCAGCUUACAAUAGGGGCUGCCACGACAUGGGCCUUCUACCCGUGGUUUAUGAAUGCAAUUGCAGCGUGGAUUGUUGCUUGGUGGACGCGUGGUGGUUAUUAGGCAGUGGCCACAAUUGAGGUGGUGGUGCUCUGCAGCAGUAUGGCUCUUCCUACCAUUGUGUUGUGCCUUGAGGAUCGUCAACAUGGGGCCGCAUCUUGGUCUAUGUUCUCCGACCCAAAUACUUAAACAUAGGGCAUUCCAUUCGUCGUGGUUCUGAAAUUUUCUACCAUUGUAUCCUUUCUCUAGGGACUAAUCAAGAAACUUUUCUUUGAAAAUUAAAUGAUACUGCGUGUGAGAAAUUCUAUAUAACAAAAUAUGCCAAAAUUAAUUGCGAGAGUCUUCUUCGAGUGUUUGAAUCAAGCUAUCAAUGAAACACCAAUUUGUGGUAGCAAAAAUCAACUGUCUUUAGUCUUGACGAAUUUGUACCUACAAAACAAUCAACAUCCUUGAUCAAAGACCAAAGCCUCAUGCGCCCAAGAGGUGGGGGGUUGGGAGGGGAGGGGAGUUUGGCCAAUGGAUCUCCGAUGCUUAAGUUAGUUUCUAUGAAAAGAGUGAGUGUUUAAGGCUUGUAUGCGUAGCAAAAAGCUUACCAAAAUUUGGUGGAGAUUGAGGUAUUUAUAGGAGGAGGUGGCUGGCCAAGGGGUCAGGGUCUUGCCCUUCACAUGGUAGCAUCCUACUGGCCAAGAUGUGUUAUCCGUUGGAUGGAUGAGAAAAGAAUAUUCUCAAAAUAUUAAUUAAGAGAAAAUAUCUUGGAAUAAUGGUGGAAGUAUCCCUAAUUCAUUGUGAAAAUGAUUCUUUGCUUGAUUUAGUUGAUCUUCAAUUGGGAAUGUAUUAAAGAUAGGAUUUAGUAAUUAACCCUAUCCUUAAUACCUUUGAUUUUUUCAUGUCAUAGUCAGCUGCUUAGAUGUCACAUCCCAGGCUCGACUCCACCGUAGCACUAUAUUUAUCCGUUUUGGGCCUCGACCACGCCCUCACAGUUUUGUUUCUGGGAACUCACACGAGAACUUCCUAGUAGGUCACCCAUCAUGGGAUUGCCCUCGCGCGAACUUGCUUAACUUCGGAGUUCCAAUAGAACAUGAAGCCAGUGAGCUCCCAAAAGGCCUCGUGCUAGGUAGAGAUGGGAAUAUACAUAUAAGGCUUACAUGAUGUACGCCCCUAGGCGAUGUGGGAUGUUACAAUCCACCCCCCCUCAUGGGCCCGACGUCCUUGUCGGCACACUUCCGGCCAGGGAUUGGCUCUGAUACCAAAUUGUCACAUCCCGGCCCGAGCCCCCACCACAUCUGGGCUCGACUCCACCGUAGCACGAUAUUGUCCGCUUUGGACCCCGACCAAGCCCUCACGGUUUUGUUUCUGGGAACUCACACAAGAACUUCCCAAUGGGUUACCCAUCAUGGGAUUGCUCUCGCACGAACGCGCUUAACUUCAGAGUUCCGAUGGAACUCGAAGCCAGUGAGCUCCCAAAAUGCUUCGUGCUAGGUUGAGAUGAGAAUAUACAUAUAAGGCUUACAUGAUCUACUCCCCUGGGCGAUGUGGGAUAUUACAUUAAACGCUCAGGGAUGUUGAGCUGUGUGUGAGAACAGUGGAAGGUCCUACCCAUUUAAUGAAGGCAAUAUUGUCUUUCUUGAGAAAAAAAAAAUUAAGGUGUCGUAUUCUGAUUUUCUGAGAUUAUUUAUGUAAUUGUUGUUCAUCGAAUUUCUUAGAUCCAAACUAAAAUAAUAACAUCCCUUUCAUAUGCUUUCCUAAUACAUAUAGAUAUAUUGACUUCACAUUUCAGAAAUUCUUCCUGAUCCCGAUCUAUUUGAAAAUAGUUAUAAUUCAUUUAUCAUGUUUACACAUACAUAAGAGCUUAUGUCCGAAGGAACCCACAUAUUAUAUCAUAUUUUACUAAAUAGAUAUCCGUGUUAUGAUCCAAGUAUGAUUUUGAAUUGGGCUAUUUACUAAAAUGUGCAAUAUUAAACAGUAAUCUAUUGUAAACUUAGUCAUAUUGAUUAGAGUAACGUAAUCCUUUAUUGCACUUAAGUUUAAAUCCUUUUGUCCGUAAUAAAGAUAAAUUUAAUAUAAAUUAUCACAUUAUUUCUUAACCAAAUAAAAGUAAAUUUGUCGGCUAGUUAGUGCAUGUGCAUUAGGAGGUUGAUUAAUCCACACGUUCAACAUAUUUCCAAUAAUUAAUUGAUUCCUUCAACUUUAACUGCUACCUGCUACACCGACUGAGUACUAGACUUUACCAAAAGGUUUCAACAUUAUUGAGAUUAUAUAAUAUUCCCUUCGUUAUAUAACUCGUGUAAUUAGCACCUCUUUCAAAAGUAAUCUAUAGAUUGAAAUGUAGGAAGCAACAGAAAUUGAGGCAAGCCUAAGAGGCCAAGCAGAUAUAUGGAAGUACAUGUUUGGUUUUGCUGAUUCCAUGGCCUUAAAAUGUGCUGUGGAGCUAUGCAUUGCCGAUAUCAUACACUCCCAUAGUCCUACUGAGCCUAUGAUCACUUUGUCCCAAUUAGCCUCAUCCAUAGCACCUUCUCCAGACAUGACGUACCUCACAAUCAUCAUGAGACUUCUUGUCUGUCAGAAUAUAUUUGCCAUUCAUCACCCAUCUGAUGGUGGGGAACCACUUUAUGGGUUGACACACUCAUCAAGAUAGUUGUUACAUGACACAGAGUUGAGCUUGGCCCCAAUGAUAAUGAAUUUUUAGUUGAGAGACCAUUGCUCUAAUUGAGUUAAAGUUAAGAAAUCAUUGCUAAAAUUUAAUCAAAGUAUUACAGGUGACGUGAUGAUACGGUACUAUCUAAUGAUUUCUUCAGAUGCUUUUGGGUUCAUCGAAGAGGAAGAGAAAAAACUGAGGUAGAAAAAGAAAAUAUAAAUUUUAAUUGCAACAUUACUUGCUCCACCAAUUGAAUAUUACACUUUACCAAAAGGUUUCAGCAUUAUUGAGAUUAUAUAAUAUGUUUUUUCCCUUAUCCAUAUAACUCGUAUACAUCAUUGAGAUUAUAUAAUAUAUGUUUCCCUUCUUUAUAUAACUCGUGUAAUUAGCACAUUUUUCAAAAGCACUCUAUAGAUGGAAAUGCAGGAAGCAACAGAAGUUGAGGCAAGCCUAAGAGGCCAAGCAGAUAUAUGGAAGUACAUGUUUGGUUUUGCUGAUUCCAUGGCCUUAAAAUGUGCUGUCGAACUACGCAUUGCCGAUAUCAUACACUCUCAUAGUCCUACUGAUGGUGCCUCAAACUCAAGGCCUAUGAUCACUUUGUCCCAAUUAGCCUCAUCCAUAGCACCCUCCCCAGACAUGACGUACCUCACACGCAUCAUGAGACUUCUUGUCCGCCGGAAUAUAUUUGCCAUUCAUCACUCAUCUGAUGGCGAGGAACCACUUUAUGGGUUGACACACUCAUCAAGAUGGUUGUUACAUAAUACAGAGCUGAGCCUAGCCCCAAUGCUUGUGAUGGAGAAUCACCCUUGCCUAAUGGCCCCUUGGCACUAUUUCAGCCAAUGCGUCAAAGAAGGAGGUCCAUAUGCCUUUAAGAUGGCCCAUGGACUUGAGAUUUGGGACUAUGCGUCCCAAAAUCCAGAGUUCAACAAAUUGUUCAACGAUGGUAUGGCCUGUACUGCUAGGGUUGUGAUGAAGGCAAUACUCACAGGUUAUGAACAUGGGUUUGAUGGUGUGGGAUCGUUAGUGGAUGUAGGUGGUGGGACUGGAAGUGCAGUGGCUGAGAUUGUCAAGUCCUAUCCCAACAUCAAAGGUUUCAAUUUUGAUCUGCCCCAUGUCGUAGCCACAGCACCGGUGUACCAUGGUGUGUCACAUGUAGGUGGUGAUAUGUUUGAGGGCAGUAUUCCAAAUGCUGAUGCAGUUUUCAUGAAGGUAAGUCACCAUAAAAUCUUUUACAUUCCAGUUAUAUGGUUUGGUUGUAGCCUUGUAGGUAUAAAUUUCUUUCCUUUUGUCACCUUGGAAGGGGUGAUCUCGUAGCUCUUGGUUUUGAAGAAACGUUGUUAGUUAGACAUAGUAUUAUUUGUUAAAUUUGAAAUGACGAACUAAUUAACUUUUGAUUAAUGUAGUGGAUUAUGCAUGAUUGGAGUGACAGUGAUUGCAUCAAGAUUUUAAAGAAUUGUCGAAAAGCAAUACCCGAAAAAAGUGGGAAGAUCAUUAUUGUUGAUAUAGUUCUAGAGCCAAAUGGUGAAGGGAUUCUGGAUGACACACGAUUGGUCUUUGAUUUAUUGAUGAUUGCACACACGUCAGGUGGAAGAGAGAGGACUGAGACUGAAUGGAAGAAUAUAUUGGAAGAAGGAGGUUUCCCUCGCUACAAAGUCAUCAAAAUUCCAGCUUUAGCAUCCAUUGUUGAGGCCUACCCUAUGUAAACUAAAGUACAUUAUCAUGCAGAUGUUUUAGAUAUUAUGUAAUGCCAAUAAAACGGUGCUUAAUCAUAAUGUCAAUAAAACGGUGCUCAAUCAUAGCAUUCCCAUUAUGAGGGGUUAGGUUUAUAUCUUCCUGACUAGGUAUAACUUCUUUUUUGUUAUCAAUAAAAUUACUUUGUACCGUCGAGGUUUUCUUUGAAAAAUAAAAAACACUUCCAUUGGACCCAACUAAGAUCAUUUAUUCAAAUAAUUACAUCAUACAGUUUACUUACCGGCAAACCCGUGACAAAUAAUUAAUUAAACUGGUUCAACCCUGUAAAUAUUAGGUUUGGGCAUCUUGAUCAUCCAAUACUCUUCAAAAUCCCUGGCUUCGUAUGGAAUCCUCAAAACCCCAUCAUUGCAAAACCCAUAUUCCUCAGCUGAUCUAUAUAGCAGUUUCAAGAACUCUGCAUGACGGAGCAACUUGGUAUGAAUCAUGAAACGCUUAGUAUCACCAUCCACACCAACACAAACAGGCACGUAACGUUUCGGUGUUGUAGAAGGAGAACUUUUCAGUCUUUUCGCUCCUAUUAACUAGCUCAAUUUACUGCUUCUUCUCACCCCCAUUAGCAAAUAGUAAAGCACUCUCUUCAUCUGCAAUUCUGGAUUAGUACUUCAAAAAUUUUUGGUAGCGAUAAGUAUAAUUCAUUUCGGUACGUAAUUCCUCAGUACAAAUUUAAAUUUAAGGCCGUGCUAUCUUCGUAUACUAUCUCCGUACCGAUUAGAUGUUGGUUAGUUAACGAUGUUUUUAAAGUCAAUAACUUAAAUGAUUGUGACAUGCAUCUUAAUUUACAUGUCAUAAAUAAAAUGGUAAAUUACGAGGUACAAAUAGUCUUCGUAAGGACGCAACAUGCCAUGACUACAAAGUUGAAAAUAGAUUUAAAUAUUUUAUUUCUCCGGCUACUACUAUUUUACGUUGUGAUUGUCACAUUAUUCGUGUUUUAAAUAUGCCCUAUUCAUUACCACAAAAUUUUACAAUAGUUAAUGACGUUAGUUGCACAUAAUGUGGUGUCUAAUGUGGGUAUUAGCCACCAGUAUACUUUUCAUACAGCUCAUUAGUUACCAAUAGAUCUUUUAUUCACCCCAUUAUGUGCAACUAACGACGAUAAUUAUUGCCAAUUUUUCUAGUAAUUAGAACAUAUUAUGUCUCUGUCAUUUGAGUUUACCUGAAACCUAUGAAUUCGAUGAGAUGACUUUAAAUUCAACCUUGCCAUCUAGGAAUUUCGAAAGCUAGAUAAUAAUCUUCCAAGGUGUAUAAUUAUGUAUUUAACUACAAGUGAAUAUAAAUAAUCGAGUCUGUUUCCUUUAAUUUGGUCACAUAAGCUACUUCCCUAUCUUUGACCCAUGGUUAUAAUUCUGGCUAGCUUGUGGCUGCACCAUUAAUGAAUUACUUAAAAAAAAAAAAAAUGGUGCCGUACGUCAUCGACCACUGCCUCGGCGACAAUGCCUCCUUAUUACCAGCAGCAGCUCAACCAGAUCAGCAUCAUCAUCAUCAUCAUCAUCUAAGAGACAACGUUCGCCGUUCUACUAAUUCUUCGCAUGUUUACUAUUUUGCCCAGUAAUAAUACACAAGAAGAGGAAGAGGAUUAUGCGGAAGCCACGAGGCUGCUUGAAGGAUGAGAAAUCGGGUUGAACCUAGCAUCUUUUUUUUUUUUUUUUGUCCAAAUGAAAACUUCGUUAAAGACCCGAAAAGGGACAGCAAGUGCAAAUAAAGGCUAUGAUAGCCCAAAGGCAAACCGAAAAUAAAAAAGAGAGUGCAGUCGAUACAAACUAGGCAGUAGCGAAAUACGGUUUAUACAAUCAGACAAAUACUACUGAACACUACUCAAGUGAAACAAAAGAGGAAGAGGCUAAUAGUGAUUCCACUAUCAGACAUCAAUCAAAAGAUGACGGAGGACAUGGAAGCCCAUCCGAGAUAGCACCAUAACCAUUGAGGGAGGGGGCAAAGUUGCCCAUGAGAGAUUAUGUUUCUAUAAACUAAGCCUAAUCCCGAAGGUAUUUUUUUCCAACUACUUUAGUAAAAUAAUUAGUACAAAAUAACUAGGACAACUCAUAAUUUGUGUGAAAAUAAUAUCAUGACAGGUCACAGUUUUAGUGAAAAGUUCAAUCGAUGAGUUUUAGCAAGAUCUUUUAAGUGCCUUCUAAAAAAAAGGUUAUUAGGAAUUCGGAAAUGGUCUUACAAUUCAUUAUGUGACAUAAGUAAUAAAAAGUUUCUCAUGAUUCUUGUACAUUUUCUCAAAACCAAUUAAAAAAUGGUGACUUGUAGCUCACAAUUUUUGUGAAAAGAUCGACGGUUAAAUUAUAGUUAAAUCUUUUGAUCGUAGCAAGAAAAAUGUUGUUAUCUAGAGUAAAUAUCAUAUCGAAAAAUUAAUGGACCUUACAUGUACUUAUAUGAGUAAACCCAAUAGUUGAGCACGCUUUAUUGAGCCAUAUAAAUAUUCUUCACUAAAAUUUUAACCUAAAUAACAGAAAAAUAAAUAAAAAUUACUAGUUCUGGCUCCGCUAUGACUCAAUAAAUAAUAAGAAUCGGUAACAAAUAACCUAGUUAUAAUAUUUCCUUACUAUUGAUGCAAAAGAUCUUGCAAAAAUUAGAUAGAUGAUCUAGAAACUUAUGUAAAUCAAUAAAAUGAUGCAGCACGAAGUUAACAUGAGAUACCAACGUAAGUCCUUAAAGAACAAAUUCUAGAAUCCACUAUAGAUUUUGGUUGAAAAUUUAAAAUUUUGUUUGAUUAUUGAUUGAAAGACGACAAUACAAUGAAGCCAACAGCUUUAACAACAUAAUCAAAAUGCAAGCUCAAGGGCCUUAGGGAAUUGAACGAAAUCAAAACGAUAUUAAUCGAAUGGCAAACGAAAAGUCCAAUUUUUAUUACAAAAAUUAAAAAACUAUUUUGGAAGCCUAGACGACCGUAGAUGGCCGAAAUCUAUAGUAUUAUCAUAGCAAAGCAAUGUGUUUGAACCGUGGAGUCGUUAUCUUUUCUGAAAAGUAUCAUGGGCCCAAAUCGAAGCUUGGACGCCAAAUUUGCAAAUUCCUGCUACGUUCUUUUGACUUCCAUGGGUCCAUUGCGUCUUCUAUCCUCUCAGUCAUCUGUUUUAUAUCAUAAAAUACUUAUUUGAUUAAUUUUAUUCUUACGAAUAUAUAUAUAUAUAUAUAUAUAUAUAUAUAUAUAUAUAUAUGUGUGUGUCUGUGUGUGUGUGUGAACUUCAAAUAAAUAUCUGGAGUGAUCCUUUUGUGUGGUAGUAAAAGGACAAAUAAUCAUAUGUAGGACAGCAGAAAGAUGUUAGCAAUACAAGAAAAAGACCCAAAAAACAAAACAAAAGCAAAAACAAAAACAACCAAGCCUGCGCAAUGCGCAAUAUUCCCAUACACAACAUGUUCUUAAAAGAUUGCUUAAUAUAUUUAUAACUUCUUUGGGAUAAACACACUAGAAAGGGACGUUGGACAAACCGGCCUCUAACAAGGCAUUACCAUCUCUACCUAUAUAUAUGGCUUUACACUCUCAACAAAUCAUCAACCAACACUAAACAGAGUUAGCUUCUUACUAAAACUAAUUACAAUCACAUAUGAAGCAAUAAUGGCUGUGAUUAUCUCUAACAAAAAAGCAGCCAUGUCCCGUAAUUUGGUUCUCUUGUUCUGCCUUCUUCUCAUCAUCUCCUUUGCUGAGGGAAAACAACUAGGCAGCAGUAAGCUUUACAAGAUUAGAAUUGUAAUUAUCUAGUUAUAGACGAUUAUCAUUUCGGUUUGUAUGAAAUCAAUGUUUUGCUGAAUUUCAUUUUUUAUGUAUACGUUGGAUACUAAUACGUUGCCUUUUGUGUUUUAACUUUUCUUUUUUCUUUCUUUUGAAUAUUUGAUUGUGUAGUUGGGUUUGGGGGCCUGAAAGCAGCUCCAAGAGCCCCAAGAUGCCAAAAGGUAUAUGGGGCAAAACUUGGGGAUACUUGUGAUGGAAUCAUUCAGAAGUUCAAACUGAAUGCUGCUCACUUCUCUGAAAUCAACCCUAACCUCAACCGUGACAGUAUCUUUGUGGGUCAAUGGCUUUGCAUUGUUGGCACUACAAAAUAAACUGCAGACUGAAGGAGGAAAGUUUGAGUUGAAGCAGAGAAAAUAAAUGCAUGAAUAAAAGAGCACUAACAAGCAUCAGUGUUCGUUCCAAUUUCCACUUUGCUUUAAUAGUUUUUACAUUGUUGUAAAAAAAAAAAAAAAAAAAAAUUUCACAUUGUUGAAUCCUGGUGUUUAUGCUGAAUUUUCUCUUUUGCUUUUUUUCUUUUAAUAAUUUUUAAUACUGGAUUUGUUGAAAUGGCAAUAUUAUACUUCAAUUUAAUUAAAUUAUAUCAAAGAGAAUUCAUACUCGAGCGCUGUCAAUAUGGCUACACACAUCUAUUAAUUGAAUAUUAUCGUUUCCUUUUAAAUAAACUAUGGGAAUUUAAAAGUGUUACAUGGGAGUCCUGAUCUUCGUCUAUUCAUUCGAUCCAACGGUCAAAAAUUAAAAAUGGUGUGUGAGAGGUAAAAAUUGAUGCGUAAAUAGCACCACUCUUUAGAAAAUACAACAUUCAUUAAGAAUAAAUAAGUCAAAUGAUUUUUUAAUUGCACCUCUUUUGAUGAUAACUUUUAAAAAAUAUAAAACUAGUUUGAUCCCAAUACUUUAGGGUGCAUUUUUGCUCACCUACAUUAACUUUGGUGUAUGCUCACCAUACACUUGCCAUGUGCAUCAUCUCCUAACUAUAGUUAACAUUUUUAUUAAAUGUUCUUUUUAUUUUUUAACAGUGAUUUAAAACUGAGAUUAAACAAAAAUAAAAUAACUCCGGCGCUUCAAAUUUCCCACCCAACCAACCCGAAAAACACCUACCCACGUCGCCGCAAGUGAUCAGAUCUCAGUCUUGCCGCCGGAAAAACCAUAUGUUCACUCUCUCUCUCUCUCUCUCUCUCUCUCUCUCUCUCUCUCUCUCUCUCUUCUUCACCCUUAUGCCGUCUCUCUCAUCUCUAUUCAGUACCGGUCCUCCAAGGCAGCUACUCAUUUUGGCUAACCUAUGGUCCGGUGAGUUCGAGAACGAGUUAUCCGCGUCGUACACAUCACUCACCACUGAUGCAGUAAUCUAUGUUUUGAAGAAAUUGGAUAAAGACCCAUGAAAGGGUUUGGAUUUUUUCAAUUAGGCAUGUGAGAAAAAAUGGAUUUAGUUGAGUUCUUCGGUGGGUCUUUAUCCAUUGAUGUGCAGUACUCAUGUUUUGAAGAAAUUGGAUAAACACCCAUGAAAGACUUUGGAUCGAUCUGAGGCAAAUGAGAGAGAAGGGAUUUUCCAUUGAUGUGCAAACGUCUAUGGUAAUUAUAGAGCAGUUGAAAAAGGGCUUUUCCAUUUCAAGCAUUUUUAUGAUAGGAUGAUCGAAGAUAAUGGGACGAAUGAUAUUGUUAAGAGCAUGGUAGAUGUUGUUUCGGGGUAAGAGUGGAGUGAUAGGUUGAAAAGGAUUAAGGAAUUGGGUUGAAAUUGGUAGCCGGCGGCGGUGGCGUCGCGGCUACCUGUUUGUCAGGGUUGGCAUGGUUGGGUAGAGUAACUAUUUUGUUUGUAUUUAUUUUUGUUUUUAUUUAAUCACUAUUUAAAUCACUAUUAAAAAAAUAAAAAGAACAUUUAAUAAAGAUGUUAACUAUAGUUAAGAGAUGAGACACGUGGCAAACAAGAAUUUGUACGAUGAGCAUACACCAAAGUUAAUGUGGGUGAGCAAAAUGCAUUCCAAUACUUUACAAAGAUUUUACCUGUAUAUAAUGAAGCGAUUAAAAUACUUUGCAUGCAAUAAGUGAUUUGGCUGUACAAUUAUAUUGUUUGAAUAUAGUGGAAUUCUCGAAAGAAACUGUGAAAUUCUCAGUGCACAUAAGGGCAAAGUUUGAUAACUUUCUUUGUGUGUGUUGAUCAUUGGUAAGGGUAGACAUUAGGAGGUUCGGUUCGGGUUGAGUCACAGCCCGCUACUCAAUUUAUUAGGCUCGGGUAGCCUUUAUCAAGGGUUUAAAUAUGCUGGGCUUAACCCACUAGCUAUUUAUCAAUUCCUUAGGACCAAGUCCACACGCCAAAUAUAAGAUCACAAAAUCAAGAGCCAAUUCAGGGAGCAAUGUCUGCAACUAUCGAUCACAAGAUCAAGAGCCAUCUUUUGGAAACCAUGAUUUAAUUAUAUAGUAGCUCUCAACCUAUACGUACGAUGCAAAAAAUAAAUAAAUAACUCAACAAUUAUUUGGUUAUUAUGUAAAACUAGCCACAAGAGAAUAAUAACGAAAUAAAAAAUUCUAUAUUCCACGUAAAGAAUUGGGAAGAUACGAGUUGUGAUUAGCUAUUCACUCAAAGUUAUUAGAGUGCUCUAUUAACUUGACUAGUUUAGGAUGUACUUAAUGCGACUUCACAUAUUAAACUCUGAAAAACAUUUACGUACUUAAUUUAGGAUCCAUUACACAAUGAAUAACUUUAAUUUCAUUUUUUGCUUGUACAAGGCUCGUUAUGAAGGUAGGAGUCAUAUAUGGUAUAUGUAAUAUACAUGAAAUUUGAGACAGCAAAUAUAUGGAAAUUCUCAACUUAAUGGUUGUUGUUUCUAGAUCAUGUGGUCUUAAUAUCGAAGGUCUUUUUUGACAAAAAAAAAAUAUCGAAGGUCUUUGAUUUGUAGCUAAAAAAAUUCGUUAGUAGGUAUAAUAUACACUUGGAGAAAAUUUCAAUCAAAUACUUACAAAAACACAGCAACUAUUCAGAAGGAAAGCAUUUGUUUCUUGUUAGACUUUUUUUCUUCACAUAAAUGCUUAUGUCGUCAUUUUUUAAAUUACAAAUUUGAACAGGACUUCAGUGAACUAAUAGUCUAAAUUUACAGUCUGAUAACAUUAACAUAAAGCAUUUUUCUUGAAUUUAUCCAGUUGACAAGGCCAGCUAGGAAAUGGUUUAGAUUUAGUGAUAUUAAGAUUUUGAUCACAUCCAAUGUAUUUAGAAAAAACAGAAGAAGAAGAAGAAGAAGAAGAAGAAGAAGAAAUUAUCUUAGCAUGGCAUGUGGCAAAGCUGUUCUAAUGUCUAAGUGGAUCAUCAGAUUGAAUGAAGUAUAUGAAGUUGCAAUACAGCAAAUCCAUGACCCAUCCAUGAUCAAUGUCUCUAGACCCACAAAACCCAGUGGCAAAUGCUUGCCCAUGAGGGGUGCAAUUUUGAUGUUUUGGUAGUUGGACUCCAAAAGUCCUUGCUAUUUAUAUCAGUUCAUAAAAGUCCUUGCUAUUUAUAUCAGUGCAUACACAACAUGCGACAACAUAUGGUUAGUGGUUGCACUUUUGAGAUAAAAAAACGACGUGACGUUUCUCUUUUUUUUUUUUUCUUUUUUUUUUUUUUUGGAAAACCGUCGUGACGUUUCUUUGUCUAAUAGAUAAGAUGGAGAAAUUUGGGUCUUCCCCACUUUUCAACCAAAGCCACAAGUGGAUCACAUAGUCGGUUGCACUCAAAAAAGGAGUUCUCAGAUUUGUCAAUGGGAUUGUCUUUAGAAACCACUAACAUUCUACAUGUGCCAUGUGUAUAUGUUAGUAUAUUUUAAUAUAAUAAUUGACAUUGGGGUUCCAAUGGGAAAAUGAUCAUCGUCGGUUCUUUUCUUAAGAAUUUUAAGGAUUUUGUAAUCGUGUUCGUUUAUCAUAUAUCGUAUAUCGCAAUCGUGUUCGUUUAUCGUAUUGUCUUUAGAAACCACUAACAUUCUACAUGUUAGUAUAUUUUAAUAUAAUAAUUGACAUUGGGUUCCGAUGGGAAAAGGAUCAUCGUCGGUUUCUUUUCCUAAGGAUUUUAGGGAUCCCGCAAUCGUAUUCGUAUAUCGUACAGUUAAUUUUUUUAUUAGGUAUUAUUUAUAUUUGAAUUUUAAAUUUUAAAUUUUAAAUGAUUUAUGAUCGCACGAUAUACGAUGAACGGACACAAUUGCGAAAUUCCUAAAAAAAUGAAUCGGCAAGGAUCCUUUUCCGUUCCGAUGGAAUGGAAGCUAGAAGUGGGUUUAUAAUAUAUAAUUUUAUAUGCAAAGAAUUAGGUUCUGUGCUGUAUGGAUGACAUGACAUGGGUAAGGCCAUCUCCAACCGAAGGGUCCAGAGGGCCAGAGGGCCGAAAAUAGCCCUAAAACCGUCUCCAACCGAGGGCUAGGCCAGAGGGCUCGGGAAUCUGGGAGGGCCCCACGGGAUCGGAGAGGGCUGGAGGGCUGGAGGGCUGGCUAUUUUUUUUUUAAUGUUUCUUAUUUCUGUCGGUUACAACCGACAGAAAUAACAUUUUGAAUUCAAACUUCCAACGGCUAGCGCCACUAGCCGUUGUAAAUCCUUUUUUUUUUUUUUAUGAAUUUAAACCUUUUUUUUUUCUUUUUUUUUCUAUAACUUCCUAUAACUUCUAUUUUACAAAAUUUGUUUCAAUUUUUUUAAUUCUAUUUUUUUCCUAUAACUUAUAUUUUACAAAAUUUGGUUCAUAUUUUUUUCAUAUAACUUCUAUUUUACAAAAUUUGUUUCAUAUUUUUUUUUUAAAUUCCAUUUUUUCCUAUAACUUCUAUUUCACAAAAUUUGUUUCAUAUUUUUUUUAAAUUCUAAUUUUUUCCUAUAACUUCCUAAGCCAUUAUACAACAUUAAAUUAAAUUAAGUAACAUGAAACAACAUUAAACAAUAUGAAACAACAUUAAAUAACAUUAACCGACAUAAAAAUUAUACAACACUAACCAACAUGAUUUUUAAAUAAAAUUAAGUUGUAGUUUUUAAAUAAUAAAAUUAUGUUUGGCCCUAUGGCCCUUUGGCCCUAUGGCCCUUUGGCCCUCGGUUGGAGACGGUUUUUUUUGACAGGGCUAAAACGAGCCCUCUGGCCCUCUGGCCCUCGGUUGGAGACGGAGGCAAAUAUGGCCCUGUACUGUUCAUUAAAAUAUUAAUAUCUUGGAGAAUCUUGGAGGGCCAGAGAGCUAAAACGAGCCCUCUGGCCAGCCAUCGGUUGGAGAUGGCCUAAGAGACAAGUAAUCGAGCACUAAUGGGAUUCAAUUACACUCAAAACCCCUAAAAUACUCCUACAGUGAGUUAUUCGGAUCUUCCCCAUCUCGAAUGUUCAAAACCAGUCUAUGGAGUCAAGACUAACCUUCAUGCAUUUUAAUUGUGGUUGUGUGCACUAGGUUUACAAACUAAAGAUUUUUUUUUUAAAAUCAUUCGCCAAAGGAUGUCACCAUAGAUAAAAUCGUAGCAUAUGCCUUUAAUUCAUGGGUGCAAAGAUGGACUAUUUCUCCGUGUCAUGUCAGUCAUUCUUGUCUUUAAAAGUUGAAAAUUCAAGAGGGAGAGUGAUAGUUUUACAGCGUGCCAACAUUCCUUUAAAACUUUAAGCUAGUUAGAAUGUUUUGGACUCAAUGCAAUAGGCACUAGCUACCGAGAGUCAUGCCGCGCACCAUUCUCAUAUCUGGUCCCAUAUGUUAAAAGGUAGAAAAUAAAAUGUUAGGGUUUUGUGCAUGAGUAAAUACUUUUACUGACUUAAACUAAAAGCCCCUUUAUAUGAAGUUAGCAUAUAGAAAUUUCACCAAUCACCUAAAAGAGCUUUUGACAAUAACACUUUUGAUACUCUUAACUACUAGCCCAAACAAAUUCUUAAACCUCACCAAAAAUGAAUAUCCCAAUGAUAAUGAUAAUUCUUUGGUAAAUGAUUUUCACGCUAUUUAUUUUUAACAAUCUUUGAACUGAGUAAAUCGAAAAAAAACUCGUUGAACAAUGUUUGUACCAUACUUGACCAAUCCCGAAACUACUGAUCACCGAUCAACGUUAUACCGUCAAGGACUCAGAAGAGUUUCCCUCCAACCAGGAGGCCAAUCACAGCGCAACACGUGUUGACAUCAGAAGCCAAUCAUAGCACGACACGUGUCAACAUCAUAAGCCAAUCACAACACGACACGUGUCAAUGUCAGAAUGAAACUAGAAACUCUCUUCUAUAAAUAGGGAUCAUUCUCUCACAAUAUUUCCUAAUGUCAUUUGUACUAAAUCAUUCACUUGUACUCACUAAAGGAGAGCUUGAACCUAUGUACUUGUGUAAACCCUUCACAAUUAAUGAGAACUCAUCUACUCCGUGGACGUAACCAAUCUGAGUGAACCACGUACAUCUUGUGUUUGCUUCCCUAUCUCUAUUCAUUUACAUACUUAUCCAUACUAGUGACCGGAGCAAUCUAGCGAAUGUCACAAACUUAACACUUUCUGUUGUACCAAAAUCCUCACUGAUUUUGUGCAUCAACAAACACAAUAAAAAAAAAUGAGUGCAAAAGUAGAAAAAUCUGCAUGUCGAACAAUUUUAUAUAUUUAUUUUACACAAUGACACUCACCAUUUCAUUGUGCCACAAAGCAAAAAAGAAAACGAAAGUUGAAAAAUCCGCAUGUUGAUCAAUUUUUUAUGUUUUGACACGAUGACACCCACCAUUUCACUGCGCCACAAUUAGAGCAUGAUUACUGGCAGAGUUAUGCUGACUCUAAUCCCAAAUAUAAUAUAACUUUGUGCAACCAAUCUAACUAAAGCAACAACUUACGUCUUAUGCGGUGGUUCAAUGGACGCGAGCACAUAGAAUGAUAUAGAAUUGCACCAAGUCAAGGACUCUAGGCAACCUUUAAAGCCAUAAAGUGUUUUGGUUGCUUGUUUGGUUUUGGAAUUCCAUGUUUCCAACUAACAGGAUGAACUAGUCAAAUUACACAGAGCUACCCUAAACUAAUAAAGUGAGGUUUUGGUUGAUGCAAGAACCACCAAGGACACUUCUCUUCUCUAUUUUUAUAAUUUAUAUUCACAUUAUCCACAAAAUCCCUCAACAGGUUUAUCCUUCUAGUCGACAGAAGCAUUAUCUCUCUACGUCUAGAGACUCAUCCUUCUUACUUUUCCUUUCUACCAACUUUUUCCAGAGAACAAGUCUAGGGGAGGAUCGCAGCUCGCAGCGGUGUUCUCGUGUCAUAGAAUUCCUACUCAUCCAGUACGUAUCCUGAGCGCGUCAUUAGUAUUAUAAGUAGCGUGGGAUAUGCAUAGUCGUAUGCAACAUUCUCUCCCAAUAUGUUGACAACCCAAUGUGGUCAAGAGAAAUGACCACACGAUAGGGGUAGGCCAAUAUUAAGAGAAAUAUUAAAAUAAAAUUGCAAAGGCAUAGAGCAAUUUCCUCGUCUCCCCAAAGUUCCAUAAACGGUCAAGAGAAUAUAUAAUAAUUUACACAAACCACUUUAAACUCAUGAUUCAAAGAGCCUCUCUCUAACCUCACCCGUCUCUACUACAUACAAAGUCCCAACAAAAGGAGUCAAAGUCAUUCAUCACAUACUCUCAUCUACUGACCUCAAACAUGAGCUCAACACUAAAACACCCUAGCAAAUAACCACA